AUACUUUUGAAAGUAUGGAGCCCUCCGAGCUUCCAAAUUAUUUUCUAUGUUGAAACUUUCGAAUCGAUGAUCAGCUUCGUUAGAUUUGAUCUAGAGUAUUUGAAGUACCUCGAAAUAAAUUUUGUAAUUUUUCAAUAUUGUUUGCCUAGUAAUCGGAAGGGGUCUCAUCGAAAGGGCUCAAAAUCAAUAACUUUAAUGGCCGUGAUGAGCUGUUUGCAAGUUUAACGGUGUAAAAAUAUCCAAAUCAAGUAAAAUUUUGAUAGAAAAUUCUUUACACUAUAUAAAACAAGAUCAAUAUCUUUAAUCUAAAAUUUUAAUUCAAAUCAUCACAUUUUAUAAAAUUUUUAUUUUCAGUCGUUGAUUUUGAGCCCCUUUCGAUCACUAAGCAAAUGAUAUCAAAAAAUCACAAAAUUUAAUUUCUAGGUACUUCAAAUACUCUAGAUCAAGUUUAACGAAGCCGAUCAUCGAUUCGAAAGUUCUAACAUCGAAAAUGACUUGAAAGCACGAAGGACUCCGUACUUCCAGAAGCAUACUAGCCUCUCUCUCUCUCUCUAUAUAUAUAUAUAUACUAUAUAUAGAGAGAGAGAGAGAGAGAGAGAGGCUAGAACUAUUAUACUCUUAUAAAUACAGAUCUUUUUAUAUUUAUAAGUUUUCAACCAUUGGAUGAAAGGAUGAGCGGUUAGAAUGAUAGUAGUCCUCUAAAAUUGAGUGGGUGAUUGAUUGAAUAAUAUGAUCCACCAGAUGAAAAUAAUCAAAAAGAUAGAUUAACGGCCGAAAACUUAUAAGUACGAAGUGGUCUAUACUCAUAAAAAUAUGAGUCCGGUUACUAUACUCUUAUGAGUAUGAUCACCUUUGUACUCAUAAGUUGUUUUCGAUGAUAAAACUUCCGAAUCGACGAUCCAUACCGUUAAACAUUAUUUAGAAUAUUUAAAACAUCUAGAAAUCAAAUUUUAUAAUUUUUCGAUAUCAUUUACCUUACGAUCAAAAGUUCACAAAAUUGACAAUUUUUAACGGCCGGUAUGGAAUACUUACUAGUUUAACGGUGUAAAAGAAUUGGAAUAUGUUGAAUUUUUAAUAAAAAAUUCUAUUCACUACCUAGAUAAAGAUCAAUAACUCUGAUCUUAAAUUGAAGAAUCCGAUCAUCCAUUUUUAGGACGUCAUUUGAUUUUGACCGUUCAUUUUAUGCCUGCUUAAUGGACUUUAUUAUAAUUUCAAAAAAUUGCAAAAUUUAUUUUUUAGAAGUUUCAAAUACUCUAGAUCAUAUUUUACAAAGUCGAUCGUCGAUUCGGAAGCUACAUUAUCGAAAACAAUAAUAGUCCUACUCUGGCUACUAUACUUUUAUAAGUACUGAUUCCCUUAUACUCAUAAGUUUUCGGCUCUUAGAUUUUUUUCCAUUGAUCAUUUCCACCCGUUAGAUCAUACUAAUCAAGUCUGCCACGAUCCCAAUAAUAACUUACAAACUUUAGUUAACAAACAUUUGCCACAAGAAGAUCUUCCCAACAUAAAUAAACUCGAAUGGCUACAAAAACCCAUAAAAAGAAGGGUCAAAAGGGAAAAUGAACUUCUACAAACAGCUUGAAACCCUAUUGAAGCAAGCAAAAUCAAUUGUUUCUAUUAAGGUAGAUUAAAGAAAAAGGCCAUCAGUUUUGAUCAUUAUUACAACAGGUAUCUCGCAAAGGUAAGGUAGGGUCGAAUCUCUGUUUCAAGCUAGAACAUUCCUCCGUGCAGGCUGUCGAGAUCGAAGAAGUGGUCCCUCAAAGGAGAAGGUGAGUCGUCUUUCCAGUAUACAAAUUUAGUUCUUCAUCUUAUAAUCAGGUGGCUUGUACUCGGGAACAUCCCGAAGGCCGAGCUUGGAUAGUGCCAUGCAGUAAGAGUCCCAGUCCGUCCUUCGAAGAUACUUGAGAAGCUUCUUCCUCCUCUGGACCAUUUCUUGUAGUCCUUUUCUCGAAUGCUUGUCCUGAAUAGCAAUAUAAUUAUCGCACAGGGUCAAUGGGGAAAGUAGUCAUAAGGGCUAGAGAGAUGUGAAGAUGGAAAUGACAAAAGGGCCCGCUGUUCACCUUCUUAUGUAGAAGGGUGGACAAAUGCUUGAUCUUGGUCGUGAGUUGCGCCACUGCAAAAACAAAGAACAGCAUAGGACACUCUAGUUAAACAUGUCAACUAGGUGAUUAAUUACCUAGAUUUCAUAAUUCUAAACGAAAUAGUAAUCGCUUAGGCUUGGCAUCCUAAACAGAUGGAGAGCAACAAGAAAUUUAAGUGAGCACCGGACCCUGCACAAAAACAAUAUACAGAAGAAAAGAUCCUUCUACAAUAAUCAUAUUACACAUGAGUAUGAUGGUAUCACAGUUCGAACAACAGCUUACAUUGCCUAAUAACCACUCACUAGGAAUUUGUAUUUCACCAAACUAAAUCAAUCAUGAUUGUGCAUCAAACCUUAUAAUCAGCUCGUAGCAUUUUACACAUCCACUUAUGGUGUACAAAAUUUCACGUGUCAUUAGUGAGAAGACCGAAAAUUUCACACCCGAAUAAAAUAUAGAAAAGGAAUUAUAUUAAUGUUUUACCUGUUCAUUUGUGACUAACAAAUUAUUUUCUGUUAUUCAAGUCAACGUUACAUUCAACAAGUUGGACAUUUUGCCCUUGAUAUCUUUCAUUUUAUCCAUGUAUUAAGUUACAAAUAAUGAUUGUAGGGGGAAAAAAAAGAAAAAAGACAUCCUUAUACAAGGGGCAUAAUGAAAUUCAACUUGGCCGAGUAAAGCAACCUAUUUAAUCUAUAUGACCAUCAAGUAUGAUUACAAGCUCCAAACAAUGUUGAGAGUGAGCAUACCAUCCAGGAAGCAACUCCAAGUCCCAACGGUUAGUAAUAAGCUCAAGUGAAGAAGAACGCAUAUUUCAGUAAAAGCUUAGAUAGUUUAAAUAGCAUCACUUGUAAUCAACUAUAAUGGGUUCAAGGAGCGAGACAACAUUCUGAAACAAUUAUGAAAAUACCUAGUCACUGACAUCCUUUUCUUUUCUUUCUUUUUUUUUGUUUCAGGUUUGCCAGGUCAUGAUCGGUGGUUCAAUCAUUAAUCCAACUUUGGUUUAUAUGACAUUGUUACCAGAUAAUAUAUCGGCACGAAGGCAUCAAGCUUUUUUCCCUGAUUUCGCCUCAGAGUACUAGUAGAGCAGGAUUGAUUUCCACCACUUGUCAGGACAUUGUCAAUUCCUUUGAGUUUGAGUUCCAUUCUUGCAAAUGUACUUCCAUGCAACUCAUAGUACUAAAUUAAUUAUCUAGAAUUAAAUUUUAUAAUAUCUUAGAUUAUUUUCUCCACAUAAAUGAUGAUAAGCUAAGAUUUUUGUCAUAUAUAGUAACCAUAUUUAACAUCUCAUAUAAACGAGCAUAUCAAGCAAGCCCUUCUUGAGCCACUUCUCAAGCCAAACGGGAGCUGUUCAUGAGCAAUGAGUUCGUUUGACAGUCCUACACAUAGGCUAUGAAUGUGUCCACCAGAAUUUCUAGCUGGAUCUGAGUCUAUAACUACCAAGUACCAACCAAGCCUCAUAGUUUUACUUUCAUUGAAUGAACAGAUAAUUUUUUUUUUUUUAUUUAAACCUCAAAUUAGUUUAUGUAGUUGUAAUUCAUUAAUUACUUUAAGGUUUAUACUGAUAGUUGUUUCUAAAGUGGUCUUUCAUCAUAUAUCCAGCAUGCUUUCACUAUCCUAUUAUAGUGUUAACAGCAUCCACUCCCUUCCUUAUUAUCCCUAGACGUUUUUUUUUUUUCCCUUUUGUUUGUACCAUUAGCACGGCCCAAACCAGUUCUGAAAUCCUAAAAACCAAAUGGUUUUGUACUUCCCUAUUUGACAAACUAUGUCUCCACUGAACAGGCAACCAUAAAAAAUACCUAGGAUCUAAGUCUUACCUUUGCUAGCCAUUGUCACUAUAGGACCUGAGAAUGGCAUGGUAGUUAGAACCAACCUGAUGCAAUAUAGCUAGGAAUAUGACGCCUUCCAAUCAUACUCUACUAAAAAGAGUGAAUAGUAAGUUUUGGGUCUCCUUUUUUCUCCUGGCAUGCUCUCUGCUCCCGAAAUACACCUAGAAUCAAGAUAGUCCCGAUCCCUUAUCUCAAAAUGACAGAAUACAGCCUAAUAUUCUGAGCCAAAAUCGGCGGCCUAUAGGUUCCGUCAGUCCAAUUUUCCAUUUCAUUAUGUUUCCAUGGAAAUCUUACUUCUAAUUGGGAUAGCCUAUUUUUGCCAUCUCAUGGAAAUCUUACUUGCAAUUGGGAUAAAUCUCUCUCAUAUAUAAUUAAGGAAAUUAAGAAGAAGAAACAAUCUCUUCUCUUGUGCCUCAAAUUACUAAGAUCAUGAGCAAUGCCUUUCUAUUUCCAAGGAGUAAGGCUUUAUGUACCCCAAAAGGUCUCUCAAAAUGCUAUUGAUGAGUCAACAUUAUACACACAUAAGAUAAUGAUUGGUUUAACUUUUAGAAAAGGUGCCUUGCAUGUUAUGUGACUCAUAUCUAAAAUUUAAAAAGCUAAAUCAAUCACUAACUGUCAUGUGUACAAUACUGACUCAUUAAUAACAUUAUGAGAAAUCUUUUAGGAUGACAUGGAGCAUUACUCAUGAUAUACACUUAUAAUUUAAAUACAGUUGUUAACAAGUGGCAAAGUCUAUAUAGAUGGGAAAAGUCAUAGCAUGCACCUAUACAUCUGUACGCUCAUGCACCACUUAUCUAGUAGCAAGCCAUGCUAUCUCAUUUUGCAAACUUUACAUAAUUCAUUAUCCAAUAAAAGUAUUAUUCUUAUUCUUUAUUCUUAAUAUUGGAUGGUGGAUAAAAAGUGUGGAAGGCUAAUGAACCAGCUACUCCUGCACCACAUGCUAGAAAAUAUCUCUACUGGUGGACGGGAGAAAGUAUUACCUACACCUAGUGCACGAGUACAACUAGAAUCACAACCUACCAACCAUGCAAACCACCUCACACUGUAACCCUCACCAUCUAAAUCACAUUUGAACUCAUUUUGAUUUUCAAAUCAAAAGUUCUCAUUCAUUACCUGGGGCAUUCAAUACACCUAGUGAACCGCAACCUACCAACCAUCCAUCCCAUCCAAUUUUGUAAUUCCAACUAUCCAAAUCAUCAUUGAACUCACUUUGCUUUUAGAUUAGAAAAGCUGUCAAUGAUUGGAUAAUGUGGAUAGACUUACUAUAUAAUAUGAAAUGAAUAGAUGGGAGGGUGCGAUGCACCGGAUAUAAGAAUGCACAAAUCACAGCAAUUAAUUACUCCCAUCUAUGUUAAAUAUUAGCACUGCAAAGACGUCAAAAUCUAGAUCUUAAUUUUUUUUUUUUCUAAAUAUUAAGAUUCAUUGAUCUAAACAGCAUUAAAAGUCAUCUGAAUGCACAAACCUGUGAUUAAUUACUCUCAUGUAUGUUAAACAUUAGCACUGCUAAGGCGUCAAAAUCUAGAUCUAAACUUUCAUUUAAAUUAAGAUUCAUUGAUCUAAAAAGCAUUAAAAGUCAUCUCUAUAAUUAAACUUUUACUAUUAAGAGUAUCAACUUUAUCCUGUUAACUUCAAAGAGGGCCUAUGUGACACAUCAACCCUACACUACUCAAUCUUAGCGUCUAUCUAGAUGCAUGAAGUCUCGUUCAAAGUAUUUCACUCAAGAAGAACGCAAUCGUUAACAAACAAGAAGUAUUAUUAGAUGCUUACAAUGGCGUAUUAUAUUCGACCUCCCAUUCAUUUUCUUGGAACAAGAUGAAUCAGAAUCACUUCAUGAGUGAAAUACAUUAUUCCAAGAAAUAACUAUUGUCAAGACCUUGUAAGAGACAAUAAGCAAACUCUUAGAUGACAAUCACAAAAGAAAAUCCUCAUAAUGCACAAAUUAGCACUGGAUAACUGUUCCGGCAUCCAAACAAGCCCUAUUAGAACUUGAAUCAUCAAAUGUAGUAUUAAAUUGUAAAUCUUUCCAUCAGGAACCAGCCGUUCACAAUAAGUGGGUUUAAAGCCUCAAAUCAAUAAUUUGAGUGGAAAGUUUAUUUGAGUUUUAUUGCCUGUUAAGAAACAAAACCAAGGACGAUUGUAUAAAGCUUGAUUUCCUUUGAAUUGAUUUCUGAGUGAAUAAAGUUCUUCAAACCGCAAAAAUCCCAGCACAAAAAUUAAAGACCUAGUAAAAGUGCUACAUGACCCUAAUUCUUCAACUUCACAGGCAUGAUUCAUUACUGUCACUACAACCACUAUUCUCACUGGUGGACCUGUGGCGCCCCACUUCCCAGGAGAUCACCCAUUCUAAAACUACUCUAACCCUAGCACGCUUAACCCUCUUAACCUCUUGGGUCUAGCCACCGCCCAAAAUAUUAUAGCCGAAAUAAGAGAUUUAGUCGUAUCAUACCUUAUAUAUAGGAUUAUUCUAAAUCCUAGGAGAGUUACAUUUCUCCCAUUUUUAAACCUUGACGUCCUCGCUAGACUCAAGCAUACUCACAAGCAUCAGGAGAUGUCAAAGUCAUCUCGCUAGCCUUAGCCGACCUUUGGAAAAUCGCGCUCUGUCCGCUAUAUGACCCUAGCUCAACCGAGACUCAUCUCACAGAUCACGCUGGUGAUUGGGUCUGAUACCAACUAUAACACCCCGCUUCCCAGAGGGUCACCCGUCCUAGAACUACUCUAGCCUUAACAAGCUUAACCCUCUUAACCUCUUAGACGUAGCCACCGCUCAAAAUGCUAUAGGUGAGUUUAAGAGGUUUAGUUCUAUUAUACCUUAUAUAUGCAGGGCUAUUCUAAAUCCUGGAAGUGUCACAUUGGACCACACCAAAACAACUUGGUUACCACCAACACAAGAUAUUGCCGGGUAAGGAUUUAAGCGCCCAUCGGCACGGGUCGUAUCUACCAUAUUGUAUCGUGCCAACAAAACAUCGCACGAUACAGCCCCCGUGCCGAUGGCAAAACUCAAAACCCUCUUUACUUUCAAUUAAUAAGUAAUUUCCUCAAUAAUGUUCAAAAGAUUUGAUAAUGAUACAUAAUAAGCAAUUAGAAUAUUUUGUUACUAAAGAAAAUAAAUAUUUUAUGUCAUUAUGUGUCAGCACAUAUAUAUUUUUUGUGACCAACACGCAUUAGCAUGACCCGACACGCACCGUGCUAGCAAAUUUUCAAUACAACCCUACACCACAGCACUUAAAUCCUCCUACUGGGCAUCACAAUGUCGCCACUAGUAAACGAAGGGCAACAACCAUCAUCAUCACUACGCCACUAGUAAACCAAGGGCAACAACCAUCAUCAUUACUACUAACAGAGCCACUGAUUAACACUACCACAACCAUUUAAAUCAUCUAAUUUUAACUACAUUUCAAAAAGGUCAAUUAAAACCUUUAUCCAAUAAAAUCCAAAAACACUAUAACUAUCUAAAUCGUCAAUUAAGUUAAUUGUAUUCAGACUUUGCUUUAAUCCAAAUGCAAAAAGUCUCUCAAUAAGCCCUAAUUAGUGUGCCCCAAAUCUCCAAUAAAUCUCCUACAAUAUGUGAAUAAGAGAAAACAGAUGAAGAAAAAGACUAAGCUGAUUCACCUGAAACCACGAAAAGAAAAGAAAAAAAGGCAAUUCAAGAUGAGUUAUCACUUAAAACACAAAUUGGCCACUAGACCCAAUGAUGACUCAGUUACAAACCAGUUUCAAGUCAAAAUAAAGAAGAUUUUGAAGCAAUGAAACCCUAUUGAUUAUCAUAUCAUUAGGAUUGACUGAAAACACGUGAGCAAUCAAAGGACACUACACGGGAACGGUACCAGACAGUUGGUUAAAUAAACCUAGUUACACUAAAGUGACCUGGGAAGUUUCUUUUCUAAAAUGUGAAGGUCAAAAAUUUGUCUAUCCUUAUAUACUCUAUAUAAGUUAACUACUGAACUUUCCAAUUAUUGAUUGGUUCCCAUCUCUCUUGUUCAUGUAGUUUGUACAAAAAGAAGUGACUUUCCUUUGCUAACAAGCCUCACCAUUUUUGUGACGCAAAUGGUACCAUUGUAUAUGUCAAAGCAUAUAUCCAUAAUAAAAGCCACAUUUUGAUGCAAUCUAAAUUCUUGAAUUUGAUAUUUAUACAACCACCCAAAAACUAGAAGUAAAUUCUUUUUGGCACAAUAGUAAAGCCCAUAGAUAAAAUUAGUCUAGGACUCUACAAUCUCAAUUUGUUACUUCCUAAUGCUUGGCUAGCAUAAAACUCUGACCGAGUCCAUGAAUUUUGGAUUGGCACUAAGUCUUUGUUGUCUCACUAAAUAAUAUAUAACAUUCACUUAUAUCUACAACUAUAAAAAUAGAAACAAUUAAGCGAUAAUUUGAAAAGCAAGAAGCAUGAUUUGUAUGACAAACGGAAGUUCUGAUUUGUUCGUUACCUUGAACUCGUGCGGAACCACAAUCUGACUCUGACAUUUUAAACUCAUCUCUGACCCUCUUGAGCUCCAAUUUCAACUUCUCUGCUGAGGACAUGUGAUCCGGAUGGAAGUACUACAGAAAACAGGGUCUACUUUCACAUCUUCAAGCCACGAAAAAGCACGAGAAGCAUCAAGCCCACUACCCUAAUCAACAUACCAACUCCUUACCCUUUCUAAUAAGUGCUCCUGAGGUGGUUUCAGCAUGAAUGUUGGCGUCACCUGCCCACCAAUGCCAAUGUUCGCCAAGAUCGAUAACCUCUGCACUGCUUGAAUCAUAAAAACCAUCAGAUAAAUACCAAAUUCCAUAACAACCAUAAAAGCUGAACAUGAUUAACCGUAUUCGAAGGCUUACUAUUGGCUUUUUUAUUUGCAUCAGCUUCUUUAAGCCGCACAAGGCUCUCCCUGAGGUCUCUGAAGGAUACACCUCCCAGCUUCGACUCCGUCUCCUUCUCCUCCAACUCCCUGAGUUUCGCGAGCCUCUCAUUAAGCUCGUUCAAAGAGAACCAGUUCGCUCCACCCUUCGCCGCCUCCUCGGGCCGAAGCCGCCUGAGCUUCUCCCCAAGCUCAUCGCAGGUAUACAUCUUCACAAACUCCGUCUUCAGCGCCUUCGUCUCUCCCUCCCCGUCCCCCUUCCUCUCCCUCAGCUCCUUCCCGAAGAUCGAGUCCGGGAGCGUCCCCCCAGCGCCGAUCAGCGUCGAAUCCUUCUCCGACUCCGCCGUCCGCUUCCGCAGGCUCUCCUGCAGGGCGCGGAGGCCGGAGAGCCCGUCCGAAGGGGCGGGGCGGAACUGGCGGAGGCUCUCACGGAUGGAGUCUAAGGAGAGGUUAUCACCUCCGGAGGCCUUGUCGGCGGCGCCGCGGCCGGGGGGGCGGUUGAGGACGUUGUUCUUGAAGAGCUCCUGGAAGGAGAUGGCGGAGGAGGAAGGGGGGCGAUCGGAGGCGGCGGGGGAGGAGCGGAGGCGGAAGCUGGCGAGGUGCUUGCGGAUCUCGUCGAGGGAGGCGGCGGGGGUUUGGGAGGAGGAGGGGGAGGAAGAGGGAGGGGGAGGAGGGGGUUGGGGGGAUCGCGGCGGGGGCGGGAGGAGGGGAUUUGAGGCGCUCCUUGAUGUCGCUGAAGUAGGAGGCGAACGAAGGAGGAGAAGAGGGGGGAGAAGGGGAAGAGUCGGUGGAAGAAUCGCCAUUGGAGGACGGGGGAAGAGGAGGAGGAGACGACGCGGAGGAAGAGGAAGAGGAAGAGGAGGAGAAGCGAUGGAGGGAGCGGAGAGAAGAGGGAGGGGGUUGGGGACGAAGCUUGAGGCGGAGAGCCAUGGCAAUGGCAAUGGGGAUUAGGGUUUUGAGAACUAGGGUUUUCGGGUAGUGUCGGGUUUCCGGCUGAACGCAGUGAGAAGACCGGUUUGGGAGAGAACGGGCGCAAUCAUAUUACGGAGGCUAUAAACUACACUUUUUUUGCUUCACCAAUUAUAAAUUUUCUAAUAUUUUAGUUAUCAAAUUUUAAUUUAUUAUUUUAAAUUAUUUCAUAUUUAAUUUAUUUUACUAAAUAUUAGCUAAAAUGUUUUUAGUAAAAUCAAGAUAUAUUCGUCAUAAAUUUUCAUUUUCAUUUUUUUUGAAUAUUUUGGCGGCAUAUUUGUGUAGCUAAAAUGUUCCAAAAUGCAUUUUAUGUGGCCGCAUAUGCAUUGCAGUGCUCAAUAUGCAUCAUAUAUUACUUGUAUUGUAUGAAAGACUGGCAAGUUAUAUAUGCGUUUCAUUUUUUAUUAUGCAGUUAGGAUAUGCUAUUUAUAUUUUAUAUGAUUGAUUUAUGAGUCAGAUUUUAUAUAUCAAGUUAGGUUUUAAAUUAAUUUUUUAAAGUAAACACAAAUUUAAUCUUGUCUUAUCUUCGUCGAUCUCCCCUCCCCCUUCCCCCUUCCCCUGUUCUCUCUCUCCUCCUUUCGAGAAGAAGUAAAAGUAGUGGCAAACAGUAAUUCGAGUAGUAAGUGCAGAGUCGAGUCAAACGCCCAGAUACGAGCAAUGAGAGCAGAGAUCGAGCCAUCCCACACUCCCUUUCUUUUUUAUGUGUGGUACUUAGAUCGAGUCAACCCCCCUCCACCUCAUUUGUGUGUGCGCACGCGCAUGGUGUUCUCCCUAAACUAUAUAGGUUAUUUUGAAAUGGACCCUCAACGGUCAACAUUAAUAUUUGUGAUUAAUUUGUUCUAGCUUUUUUGGGAAAUAAUUUCAAUGCAACUCUCUGUGAAUAUAUUAAAUAGUAAAUGUGUUACUACAAAGUUUAAGUUAUUAUAUUUAUCCCUAAAAAAGUGCUAAUAUUUUCAAAUAUAUCUCUAUUAUUAGUGUUUGCUGGAUAAACUUAGUUAUAAGUAGAAAAACUUAAUCUUGUUUAGUAAAAAAAGUAAAUUGAUCUUUUUAUCCCACUUAUAUUAUAAUCCUAUUAACUAACUAAUGGGCUUUGCCUUUAAUUGAAAAUAAACGACCAUUGUUGCUUUGGAGAAAAGCGUCCGUGUCCUCCCACGAAGCCGAUGAAGUAACAAAGUCAGAGAUUGAAUGUCAAGAAGUAGAGGAGAGAAAAAGAUUGAAAAACAUAGUUGCUGAUGUUUGAUAGAGGAAAAGAAUGAAAAGGUAAAGUUAGAAAUGGGUAAAGGAGAAAAGGAGUGAGAGAAAAUGUGAAGAAAAGUUUGCAAUAAUGAUGUAUUGAGUGAGUUUUAAUAGAGGAAGAAGAUGACCGUUGAAGGGUUCUCAGAGGAUCUUUUUGGACAUAUCUAAACAUUGGGUCGUUUUAGAAUUUAGAUAGACAUUUAUUAUGGCAAAAUUGACGUUUUACUUAUCUUUACCAAAAAAUAAACAAUAAACUAAUAGUGACAAACGAGAAGGACAAAAAUAAAACAUCACUAUAUUUUUGAAGAGAUAAAUUUGAUAAUUUAAACUUUAUAGAAAUAUAUUUGCUAUUUGACACAUUUAUAGGGAGCCCUUUGAAAUUAUUCUUUUAAAAAAAUAUAUAUUUUAGUUUGUUAAAGACUUCAUAAUUUUUUAUAUUUAUUUAUUGGAUUAAUUUUUUAGUGCUCUUUUGUACCCCUAAUUAUAUAGAUAUUUCGAAAAUAUUGUCAAUAUCAAAAACACCCUUUUAAUUUUAUGAAACUAUUCAAAUUGCCCUUAUUAAUAUACUUUAUUUAAAAUUUGGUCAUUUAUCGUUUCGCCCAUUGAGCAUUUUAGGAUUUGGAGUUUAGGAUCAUAGAGUUUAGGGUCUAGGAUGGUUUUAACAUUUUAGGAUUUUAGGGUUUUAUGGUUUAGGAUUUUUAGGGUUUAGUUUGCAUGGUUCUUUAGAGUUUUAUAUGAUUUUUAGUGUUUUAGGUUUUUUAAGAGUUUUAGGGUUUAGGAGCACGAGGAUGGAAAUAUAAUUGUCGAGUGCACAUAAAUUAUUUUCAUUAAUCUUUCAUGGUAGCCAAAAUGUUACCUAUAAUUAGCUUAAAAAAGGACAAAUUAGUUAUUUUAUAUUUUAAUUCAAGUAAAAUUUUCUAGGGGACUGUGCUCCUCGCUUCCCAGGGGGUCAUCCAUCCCAAAACUACUCUAAUCCUACCACACUUUACUUUUUUAACCUCUUGAGCCUGGUCACCACUCAAAAAUGCUAUAAUCGGUUAGGAGGUUUAGUUUUAUUAUAUGCUAUACAUAGGACUAUUUCUCCUUUAAACACUGACGUCCUUGUCAGGCUCAAGUACACUCACAAGUAAGUAUUAAGCAAUGUGGCACUCGUCUUGCUAGCUUUGUCGCUCAGACCCUGGCUUAACCUGUUAUUUCCAGACCCUGAUUUUAGCUUAUCAUUCAGACACCGGCUCAGCCGAGACUUAUCUCACAAUUUCGAUUGGUGAUUGGCUCUGAUACCGAAUGCUCCGCUUCCCAAAGAGUCACCAAUUCUAGAACUAUUCAAGUUCUAGCACACUUAACCCUUUUAUUUUUUGGUCUAACUAUCGACCAAAACACUAUAGCCGGAUCAAGUUGUUUAGUCUUAUUGUAUCCUAUAUAUUUACUAUUCAAAUCUUGGAUAUAACAAGGACGUUGGCAGAGAGGGUGUUUAUGAUACAAUUUAUGGAUUUUGAGGGGUAAUGCCAAUAUUGUCAACUUUGAAGUUUAAAGGUUUGAAGGGCGAAACUGCCCCUUAAUUAUUUUGUUAAGGGUUAUUUGCAUACACGUCCCUGCAAACAUAGUGAAUUACAGAAAUAUCCCUGCAAAAUAAAAAUUUCAUAAGUUGUCCCUGCAAAAGUCUUAAGUUAUGCAGAUAUGUCCCUACCGUUAAGGUCUGUUAAAAAAAUUUUGUUAACCACAGUUAAAAACUUAACCAUGGUUAAUUAAUAACGUAAAUUGACGGUUUUACCCUUCUUCCUCUUCCUCCUCUUCCUCUUCCAUCUUCUUCCUCGCCGGCGGCGGAGGCGGCGGCGGCAGCGGCGGCGAUGGCGACGGCGACUGCAAACCCCCUCCCUCUUCCUCUUCCUCUUCCCUCUUCCUCUCCCUCUUCCUCUUCCCCCUUCUUCUUCCUCUCCUUCUUCCUCUUCCCUUUUCUUCGUCGCCGGCGAGGGAGAAGAUGCGGCGGCGACGAACCCUCUUCCUCUUCCUCUUCCCUCUUCUUCUCCCUCUUCCUCUCCUUCUUUCUCUUCCCUCUUCUUCGUCGCCGGCGAGGGAGGAGAUGCGGCGGCGGCGGCGGUGAAAGCAAACCCUCUCCCUCUUCCUCUUCCUCUUCCCUCUUCUUCUCCCUCUUCCUCUCCUUCUUCCUCUUCCCUCUUCUUCGUCGCCGGCGAGGGAGGAGAUGCGGCGGCGGCGGUGAAGGCAAACCCUCUCCCUCUUCCUCUUCCUCUUCCCUCUUCUUCUCCCUCUUCCUCUCCUUCUUCCUCUCCUUCUUUCUCUUCCCUCUUCUUCGUCGCCGGCGAACCCAACCCUGCGCCGUCGCCGCCGCCGCUGUCCACUCCGGUGGCCCAAAGAGGGAGAGAAAGGGAAGGGAAAGAGAAAUAUUUUGGAGGGAUAUAUUUGUGAGGGUAAAAAAGUCAUUUCACAAGAAAACUGUUAAAAAAUUAACAGUUUUCUAACAGAUUUCAACCAGAUGGACAUAUCUGCAUAAUUUAGGACUUUUGUAGGGACAACUUAUGAAAUUUCUGUUUUGCAGGGAUAUUUCUGUAAUUCACUAUGUUUGCAGGGACGUGUAUGCAAAUAACUUUUUUGUUUAAAUAUUAACUGGAUUAAAAUUCGUGUGCCAAAAAGUGAUUAAAACUAUUAAAACUAUAGAAUUAUCUAUGAAUUUUAUAUUCUUAUUAGUGUAGUGACCCGUGCGAUGCGGCGGUACGUAGAUAUAUUCUUUUAAAAUUUAAAUUCUAAAUUUUAGAUUCUUAUACUUCUAUAAGUUAUUUUGUAGAGAGUAGAACACAUUUACUUUAACAAUUUUAGUAAUUUUAAAGUAUAUUGAAAACUAUGAACUUUUUUUUUUUGAACAUUCCAAUUUUUAACACUUAAGCAUCACGAUAGGUAUCAAACAACUUCUUUGCUGACGACUUUAUAUAGAUAUCUUAUUAUAUAGGUAGUGACGUGUAGGUUUAACAGAAACAACAGAAAAUAUAUUUAUCAAACAAAUUUCAACAUAUUUAUUAGAUUACGGUAAGUAUUGUGUUAGGCUGCGUAAUAAUUAAUCAUUUCAAAUAUUCUAAACCCUAAUAUAAAUAAAUCUAUCAAAAUUUCCAACACAAUCAAAUCAUUAUAUAAUGGAGACAAUAUGAUUUGUAAACCAAAAUAAACAUAAAAUUAUAGAGAGUAUUUUUUUUAAAAAAAUUGAAUUUUCUUGGAAUCAAAUAGAAAACUAAAAAUAAAAUUUUUCAUGAUAUUUUUUUUUUGAAAUUAAGAUAUUUUCCUCGCUUUCUCGAAUUCCAAUUCAAGCUUUAUAGCGAUUAUUAAUCGAAGCCAAAAUUGACCAAUGAUUGGUUCGAUUGAUCCGUCCGUGAUACAAAAUGCGGUACACCGAAGAACUCUCACCAAACCCAGGGCCCAAGCCCCGCCUGAAGCAAUCCAACGCCUAAUCACCAAACAGCGUUUCCAACCAGUAGUCUACAUACACGUGUCCGUCUUGUCCUGCGCGUGUCAGUAUCCUAGUGGCUCUCUCGUUCCCGAUUUGCUAUUUCAACUCCUCCCUCGUCCGAUCCGGCGUUGACCUUGUUUCAGUCAACACAAGUCUCCUCCGACCCUCCCCAAUGGUCAAAUUCGCGCACUUGCCUACGUCGCCAUUGUUAUAAACGCAAACUCCACCUUUUUCAAUCAAUCGUACACAUCACAUAUCUCUCUCUCUAUCUUCGAAUCCCCGAAGAUGGUUCUUGUAGUAUAAAGAUCGUAUCUGAAGCUUAUUAAAGGGGGAUUUUGUGUUAAUCAAGGAAUUGGAGCUUUUACAGGUGAUUAAUUUGAGCUCGGAUUGAGUUUUCUAGGGUUUAGAUUGUUUCUUCUAGGGUUUUGCUGGUUUUUCCCCCGAAAUUUGGCGAAUUUGGUGAAUUUGGUCUUUGGGUAUUCGCUAUUUAGUUCCGAUUAUAGCGAUUGCUGUAGUGAUGUGGGUUUGAUGCGGGAGAUUGAGUUGGGAUUGUACAGUGGGUGUCGUUUCGCUUGUGGUUUGGAGAAGAAUUAGGGCAGGAUCUGGUGAUUUGUGUUCUUUGCCGGUGAUGUGCGUCAAUUUUUGAGGUAAGUUUUGUAGUAAUAAAUUUAAUUCUGCGGUUGCAAUCUUUCGUGAACUGUAAUUUCGUUCCCUUUCUUUUUGUGUGCAGUUUGAGAUGCUUUUGAGAAUUUAGUGAUGAACUAGGGCAAGUAAACAAACUGGAAUAGUUCUUGAUUGGUAUCUUGAGUAACUCUGAAUUCAAUUAGAUGAUGUUUUUGUUUCAUUAUCUAUAUUUUCUUUCAAGUAAUCACAAGGCGAUAAGUUUCUCUCCUACUUUCCUAUCUGAGUUGUUUCAACAUCUGAUCGUUUCUUUCGCCUUCUAAUCCAAUUACUUUUGAGCCUUUUCUGUUAGAUAAUUGAUAGCCCUUUAAUCUUAGCCAUGACAGACUUAAGCUUACUAUUGUUAUAUUGGUCCUGCAAACAAUUGUAGUCACCCAUAUCAAUGUUUACAGUUUUGGUACGAUCUUUCAUUUGGUCCUCGUGCUUGAACAUCUAAACUAUCAUGCCUGCAAUACCUACUCGAUGCAACCCUGCAGCGAAGUACGUAUGUAUGUGUGUGCUUGAUGAGUCGCACAACUCACGUGGGAAAUAGGUAUCACUUGAAUAGGUAACUUAAAACUGAUGAUCAUUACCACCUGCAGGUAAUUGCAGAAGAUAAAGAAACAACUCUUAAACAGACAGGGUUCAUGGUCAAUGAGUGGCUCAAUUUCAGUCCUUAAACCUAUUAAGGAAGCAGAGCAAAACUACUAGGUUGGCCUUUAAUGUACGAGAAGAAACAUGGUAUUUCUGAUGCGGGACGUAAGCACCCGAUAGAUAUCAGCUUUCAGACCUCCUCACUGAAAGUUAUUGUCAAUUCCGCAUCAGCCCUUAUCGAAUUACGUGCAAUCGUAAACAAAGAUCUCGAGUAAUUGCAACAAUUUGAAUUUUAUUGUUUAGAACUUUGUGGUGUUGGCCUCCUUAUGGUUUUUUUUUUUUUUUUUUUUUUUUUUUUUUUUUUUUUUUGAGAGAGAGAGAGAGAGAGAGAGAGAGAGAGAGAGAGAGAUAGGUAGCACGCUACCCGCUUCGUUUAUUUCAUUUAGAAAUAAACUUAGCUGGAAAUGUGAAUUAACUAGAAUUCGAACUUGGGUCUCGGGGUUGGCCUCCUUAUGGUGAAGAUAAGUUUUGCUAAGGUUGUUAUAACCUAGCAUCAAGUGGUAAAGAGGGUUUGAUGAACUUUGGUUCUGAUGUACAGGCUACUUGCUUCAAACUGCAGUGAAGAAAAUAAUUGAGCAAGAGAUGGAAAAGAUAAAAAGGAGAGAGAAACCUAGUUGGGAGGAAAGGGGGAGGAAAAAGGGGGAUGAGAGGCACUUUCAAUCCCUUGAUGGGCCUGAUCAAAAGUUAUUACAUCUUGUUUAGUACCUCUUUCGGAUCCUGUUAAAGACAGAAAAUUGAUUUCCCGCCCCCUUAAAUAUGUUAUAUUGUUUAAAGGAGAGGUCCUUAGGCCUCAGAGUAGGAUACGAAAUUUAACUAGCUUAGGAGUAACAACUGCCUCAAUUGUACUUCUCAUUGUGGCUAGACAAUAUAUUGUCUAAAAUGGUAGGUCACUUCAACCAUCAUUUUGUAAUCCUAAUUGACUCAGGGGCUGAGUUUGACAAAUCUUAGUACAAUAUCUACCGGUGAUCUCAAUUAUAGUGUUCCAGUUCCUCAUAAACAUCAAAAAAUAACUAGCAGAACAUUGCUUUACUUUCGUAAAAUUUUGAUCAUGAAAUGAAAUGCCCUUAGUCUUGUUCUAUGUUGAAAAUUGUAUAUGCUAACACAUCAAAAAAAAAAAAACCCCAAAUAAGUAAAAGUGUAAAUCAUUUCUUCUCGUAAGAUGGGCCUAAUACGAUAUGUUAGGCCUUACCUAAGCUAAAUAUUAAACUUCAAAAAUUUUGAUUUUACCACCUAACCUUAUAUUUAUUUGGAUUUUAGAAAUUUAGAAUAUUCUGUCAAGGUACUUAAAUUUAAUGGUCUCCAUCAAAAAAGUUGUAGAUUAUUAUGGCCAGUAACAGAAUAUUUCAUUAGACUCCAAAAUAUUUCAUAAAAGCAUGUUGAAGAUACUAAGUUUUGAUGGAGAGAUUGAUGCAAACCGAGAGGUUGCCAAAAUUGAAUUUUCAAGUUUACUUUUGUUUAAAGGUAAAACUAGGUUCAAUUUAUCAAUUUCGAUGAACUUUAAGCAAGGAAGCAAAAAUUUCAGCAAGACAAAUUAGAAUCGAAUCGAAGUAAUACUAAGAUGAUGAUAAACCUUCAAUAUAUGAGAUAAUAACAACCAACUGAAAAUACAUAUACUAGUUCCAAAAGGUAAAUUCGGCUUUAUCGGACUUAAAGCUUUAGGUUUGGUUGUUUGGCAAAUAUGGUUGGUAAUGGUGGAAGGCUAGAUUAAAAGGGGAUAAUAGGAUAUCAAGAGAUAGGAGAUACAAAAAGUGCACCGUUCACACGAUUGCGGGGGAUCCACGAUCGACGAGGAGGGCGGUACACCACGGGUAGAACUUCGGCAACGGGGAAGAAGACGAUGAGGCAGUGACUCGGAAGAAGAGGAGGGGUAGAAGUAGAAGCCGAUCUUGCCACGAGGAAGAAGUGACAACGAUCAAGUUGAGGAAGAAGACGAUCUCGGCGCGAGGAAGAAGCGUCGAUGAUCUCACCGGGAAGUAAAACACCAAGGAUAAGAGUGAGAGUAGAAUUUUCUAUUCAUCCAAAUAUAUCCCCCUUAAGGUCUCAAGAACUAUGUAUUUAUAGUGUUGAGAGUCCUAUGAUAAUAAAUUAUUGCCUUUUCGUUUUCAACACAACACAGUCACCCAAGAGUCAUGCAUUGAAAACGAAGCAAAUUUGGGAAUUUCAAAGGUCUUUGUUUUUGGGGAAUUCCAAAGGUCUUCUUGGGAUUGUUUUUUUUUGUUUAUGGGAGAAAAGGGUUUGGGUUAGCCAAAUCAACUAAAACCAAAUGAUUUAAGUCCGAAUCAAACACGAACCUACAAAAUAAAAGAAAAUUGCAUUUGAAAAUAAAAAGAGAUUUAUUUGCUGCAUCAAAGAUACUUGAAACCAAACAUAUUGUAAAGUCAGGUGAUAAAAUCAAAAUAUUUUAAGUUGAGGUAUCUAUUUUAAAGUAUGCCAUCGUUUUACUUGGACAUUCUAUUUUUAUGAUUGAUGAUUGAUUUUGAUGCUUUUAUAUAUCAAGUAUACUCUUCAUUAUUGCUUUCUUUCUGUUUCUGUUUGCAGAGGACGUGCUUAAUGGUAUAGAAGAGGACUUUCUGCUUAUCUUUCAUGAACUAACUUAAAGGAAAAGCUACAAAAAGGCAAAAAGUGAAAAUAUCAUAGUUGUACACUGGAGUCAGAUCAUGUUAUGCUAGCUACUCCAGGAAUGUUUCUUGUAUUUACCUUCAUUUGUCCUUGCUUUGGAUCGAAAAGGACGGAUAUAAGUGAGGAUCCGGUUUUAGCCAGAGAUAUGAAUUCAAGUAAGUACUCAUGAUUGCGUAUUUGUUAUAAAGACUUCCCAUAUAAGCCAGUUUUGCAUUGUCUUAUUAUAUUCCAUGCUGUUAAUAACGCAUCUGAUGUCCCAUAUUCUCCUAUUCUUUCUCAUCAACUGUAUGUAUGCUGCAUACAUUCCCCAUUCCCUUUCAUUUGUAGAAUAUUUUCAGUUAAUUGGACAAAUGAUCCCGAAAUUCCUUUUUCUUUGUUUUGAAACAAGAAAAAUCUAUUCUAGUUACCUUUAAAUGUUCACUAAUUUAAACAAAUUUUUCAUGAGAAUAAUUUAUUAUGUAAUGAAUUAAGGUUAAAUCUAUAGCGUAAUAAAAGAAUGGCUAGUGUCUAGGAAAAUCAAAUUUUCUCAAAGUUGAUUCUUUUUCAGUUUAUGGAUGAAUGAUGUUUAAAAGGUUAAAUCUAAAUGAUAUAUGUUCUUUUUUCGCUAAUUUCAUCAAAUAUCUUGAAAUUAGAUGUUUUCGGAACUGUAACUCGGAAAACAUUCUCUCUCUUAUAUUAACCCUGAAUUUUAGCAAAUUCCCCAAUUUGAAUACAUGAAUUACAGAAUAAGUGAAUAUGCAAAUGAAUCUGGAGCUCUCUUGCUUUUUAAAAGAGUGAAAAUAUUAUAGUUUCUUCCUAUAGAGUGUGGAGAGGGUUUUCGUUCUUAUACAGUAUCAGAAAUAUUCACUAAAGUUCGUAAUUUCUCCCUUGAUAGUUCACACCACCUUGUUCUCAAGGUAGUUUCAUAGUCGAUUGGUCGUACUCCUAAACAGCUUGAUAUGCUUUCAUAGUUUCAUAGAUGAUAUUUAUGUUAUAUAUUCUUUUCUGACAGUCAGGACAUGUGAGGAGAACAAAAGGCAAUAGCUCAAAUUGUUAGCUCAGUAAAUGCUGAAGUUACAAUGAUGUUACAAAUCCUUCCUUUUUGUAUCAUUUCUUUUUCUUAAAUUAGCUUACUGCGGCAUUUUCUGAAUGGCUUGAAGGCAUAUAUACUUUCGCCAACGACCUAGGAUUUAUAGACCAUAGGAAAUUUGAAUCAUUACCUACCGUGUGUGAGGCAUCAUUUCUCUUUUAUUUAUCAGACUGAUUGCUUUUUGAUGAUGCAGUGGAUUCUUCUGAACUGAGAUCAUCUUCUGAUAGAAUUCCUGGAACUCCACUGCGAGUGCCUCCAAGUCCUUCUAGAUUUUCAUUGUCGCAACAACCAACCGCUAUUGGGCCACUGCAUCUGAGUAUCAAUCAGAUUAUUAAAAUUACUCAUAAUUUUUCACCUGCAAAAGUAAUAGGCGACGGUGGCUUUGGAACUGUUUACAAAGCUGACCUUCCUGAUGGGAGGCCUAUUGCUAUUAAAAGGGCAAAAAAGGUGAUCUUCAUCUUUCUUCCAACUUCCUUAGAGAUUCACCAAAUAAACUGUUCUUUUGUAUACUUUGCUAUAAACAUUAUCUAGUGGAUGAUUAAAAGCUUACUCUGGGAAAGUCAUAUUUUUUAUGUUUCUAGCUUGUUCUUAUUACAAGGUAGCUCAUUUCGUCGGCUGAUAGAGGAUAAUGUUAUGUUGUAACCGGGAUUACAUAGUAAAAUUGAGGAUUUAGUGAUCUCCAACUUUUAAGAAUUUAUUGCCUGCACCAGAUGCGCCAUGCCAGCCCAUGCACCAUGUAGUAAAUAGCUCCCCCAUUCCAUCUCGUACUUCGACGCUCAUCCAAUGGGUUGCAGUCUGUUUUUGAUUUAAUUUUUUAUUAUUUUUUUUCCCUUCCGGAUGGUUGGAUAGAAAUUAUAAGGUGGAAUGGAAGGAAGAUUACUUGCAGAGUUGCAGUGCAGAUUAUUUUGACACUAGUUACUUGGCCCCCUUCCUCCUUUUCUCCCUUGAUCUUUAGGUUAGCCCUCAUGCAAUGCUGGAGUCAUAAUGAAUUUCUCUUAUAAAGCAUCAGCAAAUUCUAGUUAGCUGUUCAUAAUUAUCGCUUUUUAAAAUUAGCUAUUUACCCAAAGUUUAGUUUUGAACAAGGAAAUAUUAUCACCUCCGAACACAUACAGAGGAGACUCGUGGAAUGUUUGUGGGAAUAAGGACAGUUCACUGUGCACUUGGAAGUUUAAUGAGGAAAAAUGAAAAAUAAUUACAUGGUUAUGGAAAUGAUGGAUUUAAAUUUGAAAAAGCUUAUUACAUGUCAGAGCACUAACAGAAAAUCCAACAAUAUCUAAGACUAACUUUUUCUCUUUUGCGCAGGAACACUUUGCUGCUUUACAUGAGGAAUUUAGAAAUGAAGUUGCACUGCUCACCAAAAUCGAACAUAGGAACUUAGUCAAAUUACUUGGUUACGUUGAAAAUAAAAGUGAACGAAUUAUCAUUACCGAGUAUGUUCCAAAUGGCACUCUUAGGGAGCAUUUAGAUGGUAAACUUCACAACCUGAUAAUUCAUUCAUUCAUUCAUUCAUUCACUGUUUGACCUGUGUCUGAAUUAGGACUAUUAUAUGUGUUAAUCCAUUUGCAGGUCAGCAUGGGAGGAUUCUGGACUUCAGCCAACGGCUGGAAAUAGCCAUUGAUGUUGCUCAUGGACUGACUUAUCUCCACCUUUAUGCAGGUGAAAUUUCAGAACAUGACAUACUCUUGCACAUAACCUAUAAGCAAAAGAGAGAGAGAGAGAUGAAAAAUGGCUCUUCCUGAAUUCUAUAUUCUGAAUUCUAACUGAGUUUGAAUUUGCAAUGUUCUCAAGUAAGAAAAAAAACCUGAGUAGAUUUCUCUCUCUCUCUCAUUUGACUGCAGUGUGUAUGUGUAGUGAGGCUUAAAGAACCUGGUGUUUCUUAGAAUAUUUUUAGAUAUAUAGGCACCUCUCUGUUUGUUCAAAUAGAUGGAACUAAUGUCAUGCCUUUUAAGAGUUCAUUUAUUUUUAUUUUUUUGAACUUGUGAUGGUGCUCUUUCUGAAUCAUUUGCUAUGGCUGCUUCUUGAUAUGAAUUGUUGAUAAUCAUUCUUUGUUUCCUUUCGUACUUCCAGAGAAGCCUAUAAUCCACCGUGACGUGAAAUCAUCAAACAUUCUACUAACAGAUAACUUUAGAGCCAAGGUGGCGGACUUUGGGUUCGCAAGGACAGGUCCAACAGAAGCCGACCAGACUCACAUUGAGACCAACGUGAAAGGAACAGCCGGGUAUGUCGACCCAGAAUACCUGAGGACGAACCAUCUCACCAUUAAGAGUGACGUGUUCUCUUUCGGUAUAUUGCUCUUGGAAAUUCUCUCUGCUCGCCGCCCCGUAGAGCUGAAGAGAAGUCUUGCUGAGAGGAUUACUGUCAGAUGGGUAAAGACUACUUCCCGUUAUAUAGCCAUUCAUUGCUAUUGCUCGAAGAAUAUAUUGAUUUGAGCAUGCGUUUCAUGUAAAAUUUAGGCGCAACUCUACAUAUUACCAUGCAAAAUUUCUUACAAAAUGCCCUUAUCUUAAACUGGGAACUUUUUCAGUUGAUUGGGGGAAGUUGGUUUACUCACAGAAAAAACGUUUUUGUAGAGCCACUUUUGACAUUUAAAUUAAAGUCUUGAAGGAUAUGUAUGAAAAUUCGAAUUUUAGUUUUAGUUAAAUAUUCUGAUGGUUUGUAUGUAAAGAUCUCGAAAGUGUAAGAUAAUAUUUGAAUCUGAAACUGAAACUUCUAACGCAGGUUGGUUAUGCGUUACAUUUUGUUAAAAUCUUUUUGAUGCUUUUGUCGCAGGCUUUUAACAAGUAUAACACAGGCCAAGUGAGGGACAUAUUGGACCCUUUGUUACAGGAAGUAGUACAUGAGGAAAUCCUGAAGAAGAUUUUCGGUUUGGCUUUCCUCUGCACUGCUCCUACCCGAGGCGACAGACCUGAGAUGAAAGAAGUCGGCGAGCAGCUUUGGAAGAUAAGGAUGGACUACCUGAGAAGUCGCGGGAGACUAUGAAGUUGUUUUUUCUCAUUGAAGUUAAAAUGUUGAUAAGAUAUACCUUUCAUUUUUUUUAAGAACAAAGUUAGGGGUGUUCUUAGUCCAGGUUGUUGUUUUUCUUGUACUUUUGUGUGGAGGACAAAACCAUUGGUGCUGUAGAGGUUUGUGAGCUGUUGAUGCUAAUCCACUGCUUUUUUGAGACCCUUAAUUUGGAUGAAAACUGUAAAACAUGUUACAAAUUGGUCUAUCAGGCUAAGGUGGUGUUUGACCUUGCUUUUGGAAAGUAAUUUUAGAGCCAAAAGUGAUUUUUUUUUUUUUUUUUCUUCCAUAUAACAUUUGGUAACCUCUUUGUAAAAUCUUCUGAAUUUUAGAAUCAGAUUUCUGAAUUAUUGGCAUCCAAAUUUAGAAGCACUUAAAACUUCUUUUCUAAAAUCUGAUUCUUGAUUCUGGUUCAAAUUUCAAAUUUAAAAAUUUGACUUUGGAUUGAAUUUUAAAUUCAAAUUUAGAUUUAAAAUUUUAAAAUUUUAAAUUUCAAAUUUCAAAUUUCAAAUUUUGAAAUUUAAAUUAAAUUUCAGAAAAAAAAUUUAAAUUUCAACAUCUUAAAUUUUAAAUUCUCAAACUUUAAAAUUUGAUUUUUUAAAUUUUUUAUUUUUAAAUUUUAACUUUUAAAUUUUAAGUUUCAAAAAUCAAAUUUAGAUUUGAAAUUUGAAAUUUCAAAAUUUUAAAAUUUAAAAUUCUAAAUUUAAAUUUAAAUUUUAAAUUUAAAUUUUAAAAUUUCAACUUUCAAAUUUUCAAAUAUAAAAUUUUAAAAUUGAAAUUUAAAAAAUGUUCAAAAUAUAAAUUUUAACUGUUAAAUUUUAAAAUUUAAAAUCUAUGAACUUACUUCCGAAUAUUUGUCAAACAACAAAAUUACUUUAGAAAAAUUGCUUUUCUGCUCUGUAAUGGCAUCACGUAGUGCAGGCAUGCUUGCUUGGGCACCUCUUUUUUUUUUUUUAUUUUUUUAUUUUUUUAUUUUAAAUGUGUUGGCACGAUUGUUUGGCACUAAUGUCGCUAGCUUAUCGACAUGUGCCUAACUUGAUGUGAUGCAAUAUAAAAUUAGUUAAAUUUUACUUUAUCUUGCACGCGAGGAACCCAAAAUUUAUAUAAAACUAAAUUUUUAAAAUAUUUAGAAAUGUUUCAAAUAAUUUUCAGAUUUUACAAAAAAUAUUUUUUAAUUUUCUUAAUUUUUUCAGAAAUUAAGAAUAAUUACUAGAACUAGAAAACAGUCAAUAAAUAGAUAACAAUUUAGAAAAAUUUGUAACAAUUUCUUGCAAAUUGGAAAAAAAAAUUUAGAUGAAGAGUAAGAGGGAAAUAAAAAAAAAAAGGAAGGAAGGAAAGAGGAGGAAGAAAGCAAAAGAUAAAAUUUUUAUGAGCGAAAGAAUUUUGUCGACGCACACCAAGAGGGGGAUGCAGAUAUUGUAAUCAUCAUGAAAUUAUGAAACAUCGAAUUUUAUUUCAUUAAAAUUCAUCUCUCUUUUUAAAUUACAAGCCAAAAAUUAUAUUUAUAACUGUCAAAAUAUAAACCUGCUAUAAAUCAAAUCUUAAGAUUUUUAGAAUAUUUUCUAAUACAAAUAUAUCUAAAAAAAUCUUAAAUUAUAUCCUUAAUUUUUAGAGAUUUAGUUUAUAUAGAAAAAAAAAUCUUAAAAUCUAAAAAAACCUUAAACAAAUUAAUAAAUAUAAAAACUUUUAAAAUUAAAAAAAAUGAAAAUCUAAAUAACUCAAUCAUAUCUAAUAAAAAAAUUGUCUUAAAUAAACGAAAGAUAACUCCACCUAACUCUUUUGGGAUCUAAUUGUGUAAGAUUAUGUUGAUUGGUACAAAAAUUCUUGCAAUGAAGUACGAUAAAUUUCAAAAUGUUCAUGCCAUAUGCGAAUUAGUAGAGAGGAAAAAAAAAAAAAAAAAGACACAUACACACCUGCUUCAAAACAAAACAUUGAAUUUUAAUCUUCAAAGCACAAAAAUAUCCGUUUCAGGAGAGCUAUUAUUUUACUCAGCAUAUUGACAACGUAGAUAUAAAUUUUACACCCUAAGCUUCUCAUACUAGGAUUUAUUUAUUAGUUUUUUUUUAUGUUUUUUAGUAAAAUUUUCAAACAGAAUUUUGUAAUAAUUCUUGGAUAUAAGGGUACAAGGUGUAUUGUAACGCCUCAAUAAUCCCACAUCAGAUGAAAAACUAAUUCUAAUUGGAAUAUAUGAGGCCUACAUGCUAAUUAUAAUAACUGGGUUUAAGCACUUUAGGCUGGUGGUUUGUGUCCAACGAGUUAUUGUUGCUAGCAGGUCGGAGCCUGAGAAUAUAUGAAGCCUACACGCUAGUAAUAAUAACUGAAUUUAAGUAUUUUGGACCGAUUGUUUAAGCACUAACGAGUUAUUGUUGCUAACCAGUCCAUAACGGUCCUAUUUUACGCUAUUUCUAUUUUCCUUAUUUUAUAAGUAGUUUAUCAAAUCAUUUUUAGUUUUUUCAUAUAUAUAACUUUACAACAUAACCUAAUUGUUAAUAAACUCCGUUAACCAAUUUUAUUUUAAAUAUUACUUACUUUAAUCUUUUUAAAUAUGAAUUACUUUAAUCUCUAUUUUUUUGGUUUAUUUAUUUAGUUUUGCAUAUGUAGUCUUACGAAAUUAUCUAAAUUUUAAUAAGCCCUUAUAAAGUUAUUCCUCUCACAUAUAUUUCAUAAAAUUGCGUAAUUACCAAGAGGCCUUAUUAAAAGUUUACUUUUCUCACCCUUUUGUACAUAUAUAACUUUGUAAUUUAAAAUUAUAAAUUUCUAAUAAAUUGACUUUGAUCUAAACUAGAUAACUCAUGCAUUAAAUCUAUUAUUUUUUUUAUAGAAAUAUAUUAUGAGAUUUGUUGGCCAUAUAUAUAUAUAUAUAUAUAUAUAUAUAUUAGUUUGGAAAUGUCACUAGCGCAUUAUUUCUUAAAUUGAGCUUUUAUUAAAUUAUGCUUUACAUUUAUGAAUUGAAUGUAAGCAUAUAAAAAAAUGUGUUCUACAUAUAUAUAUAUAUUGUACCUGUUAAAAAUCAUAAAUUUUUAUACUCUUUUAAUAAACAUAAAAAUAGAAAGAAAUACCACAUUUUACCUACAUACAUGGAAUAUACUAACAGAGAUUUAGAUGCCUUAACAUUUGUUAACAUUUACCUAAUUUUGUUGGGAAACAAUAAAUUUCAACCUAAUCCUUUAAGUACAGGAGAAAGAAUCUCCUAAUGGAAUUAAUGAUACAAAAUUCCUUAACUAAUAAGGGACUCCCUUUUUAAGAACCUAACUCACCAUAUCCACCCCACCCAAUCUCACCCAAUCUCCUCACAUCCAUUAUUAAAUUCACUAUCACUGUGAGUGCAGAUUUUGGGAAGACCCAGUGUGGAAAGCUCAAUACAAAACCGCUCAAUCGGAUUUUCAACACUUUUUCUCACGUCUGUCCUCGAAAUAUUAAGACAUUUUGAUAAGUCCAAAGCAUGAAUUUAAAUUAAAGAAAAAAUUUCAAAUAUCACUCCUAUGAUUUCGCAUUUACUUACUUUAGUAUCUUGUGGUUUAAAAUAUAUCAUUUUAGUAUUUUGUGGUUUCAUUUUUUUCUUUUUGUUAUCCCCUUCAUUAAUUUUUUUGUUAAAUCAGUAACAAAAUUAAAACCAAGAUACUAAAAUAAAAAUUCGGUUAACCACAGGAUACUAAAGUGGGUAUUUUUUAAACCCCAGGUGGGAUAUCUGAAGUUUUUUAUAUAUAAUUUGAUAGAGAGUUAACGGAAAUGCUGACAGAAAAAGAAAAAUAAAACCACAUGGUACUAAAGUGAGAAAGCGCGAAAUCAUAGAGAUGAUAUUUGAAGCUUACCUUAAAUUAAAUUGAAAAAUUUAUAACCCUAAGAGUCUGAUAAGACUCGAAUUUAAGACCUUCUAUUUUUAUAACAUGCUAAAUUAUAUAAAAUAAUCGUUAUUUUUUUAAAAUUUAGAACGAUAUUUUUAAUAUUUAUAUUCAGUGAUCCGAUAAUUAAAUGGUGCAUAGAAAAUUUCUUAACCCUAGAUCUAUAACAAAUUUUGUACUCUUUUAUCACACACAUGACUUUUCAUAUCAUCAUCACAAGUUGGCAAGAAAAGGACUUUAGGCCAGAAUAUUUAAUUCUCAUUCCCAACUUAAAAUAUUGCACUUAUUCCCCACAAGAUGAUAUUCCCAAAGAAGGCAAAUAGUGUAACAGUAGCUGGAUUUGUCUUAAAAGAUGCACUAUUUUUUUAGCUUCCCCAACCCUGAUAAGAAGUAAUUAUUCCCUGCACUUGGUGUAUAAAUACAUAAUGUACACCAUGCCAAAAAAAUUGACUGUACAGAUCUCAAAAUAAAGAAUCUAAUUUUUCAUUAAAUAUAUUCUAAGAUAUUCAAAGUUCUAAUUAUCAAAAUCAUAAUUUUUUUUCUAUUUUUUGAGAAAAGCUUGUAGGCUUGUCAAAAUUGUAAAUUUUAGAAACUGAUUUAUGAUACGUCAAAUAAUGGUUUAUUUUUAUUGUUAAAUUUUAAGACUAUACGAUAUCUAGAUAAUAGGUUUUUAAAAUUUGUCCAUUAGUUUUGGAGAUGCUGAUUUUUUUUUUUUGUGGCUAACUAUAUGUAGAGUUCUUAGAUCUUAAAGAUAGUAUCUACUAGUAGCUUAUUAGAAAGAGUAUUGCGAUACUACUUAAAAGCUAGAAAUGCAUAUACGGUGUUCGAGCCUCUAAUGGCUAAAUCACUUGAUAAUUCUUUAAGUGACAACAAACAAUUCUAGUCAAUACUCGUUGCAUCUAUUAAAUUAAAUUUUAAUUUAAAAAUAUAUUUUUUUUAAAAAAUUAAGAAUAGUGCACUGGCCAUAAAAAGUUUAACAGGUAUAAUUAAUAUAUACUCUUUUUUGAAAUUAAGAACAAAAAAGAAAGAAACAAAAAACAAAGCAAUGAGAGAGAGAAAGAACAUGCAGCCCUUCUGUAUUCUUUGAAUAUAUUAAAUGAGUGAGUAAUGCUAUAUAUCUAGGCAUAAAUCUUAUAUUUUAUGUAUUUGAAGGCUGGUAAAAAUUUGAAUGAGUUUUAAUUAAAAAAUAUAAUAAUAGUAGAAAGAGAAAAAAAAAAGAGUCAUUGAAUAAAUAGAGUGCAAAAUGUAUUUGAGCUUAAAAAUGUAAAAGCAGAUCUUGUUCUACUAAGGUAAUUUUUGACCUACACUAUCUUUAUUAUUUAUUUAAAAUAACAAAAUUUUACUUUACGAGUGCGGUGCACGAGACAUAUGGGUACAGCAGGUGCAGGCAAUAAUUUCUCCGAAUUAAGUCCGAGAGAGAGAGAGAGAGAGAGGAGAGGCGGCAACAUUUUUCUACUAAAUUCCGACAACGCCAAACCAACCGCUAUUGUUGGUAAGAAUCCAAAUCCAUUUCCCAUUCCCCUCCUCCUCCUCCUCUCGAUCCCGUAACCCUCUCUCUCUCUCUCUCUCUCUCUCUCUCUACGUUGCCGACGCCGUUGGAGGAGCAGGAGGAGGAGACGCGAGGAGGAGGAGGAGGAGGAGGAGGAGGUGGAGGUGAUUCGAGGUGGUUUGGUUAGCAAUGGGAUCGCGGCGGCAGGGGGGAUCGGCAACGGCUCGGCGGAACGUGGCGGCGAUGGAGAGGAGAUCUCGGUGACGUCUAGGGUUGGGGGGUAAUUUGCGUUUUGUUUUAGGGUUUCGUUUGGUCGGAGGGGGAGGAGGAAGAGGAGGAAGAAGAUGAGUUGGAAGUAUAAGGCGGGGUUGCUCCUCAUUGGGGCCGUUGUUGUGAUUUGGGUCACCUCCGCCGAAGUUACCCAGGUUUGUGAAUUAAAUGAAUUUUAUGAUUUGUACUUUGUGUACGAUUUUUUUGUGUGUAUUUUUUUUAACUUUUAAAUUUUUUUUUUAUCUUCUUUAGAUGAUUUCUCUACCUGUUGAAGUAAUUUCAUAGCAUUUCUCAUCUGGUUUAGAUGGAAAGAUCACAUUUUUUUAAUAAAUGUUAUGCUAAGAGGUGUUACGUUUAUGAAUUUACAAUAAUCGAUGAGAGUAACAUUGUUGCCUUUUUCAUGUCAAAGGGAAAAAAAAAAAAAAGAACAAGGACGAAACUUGUUGAUGAAUAUUUAAAAUCAAAUUUUAAAUCGAUUAUCAAGCGUUAUAUAUUUAUCAUCCUUAGUGGAGAACUUUGGUAUCAGGUUGAUGGCCAUUCGUGAAUGUUUAUUAUCCACUUUUUGACGGAGCUCUCUUAAAUAUGAGUUGUGUUACAUCAAUCUGUAUAUUAAGUCGUGAUCGUGAUGAUGAUGUGGUGGAAGUUUGUCUUAAGAUUAAAAGAGAGUUGAAAAUGAGACAUGAUGAUGACAUGGAAGCUCUCGAGAGGUUGUCGGCGUAGCAGACUAUGAGUCAUCUUCCAAAAUUAUGAGCCACUUGUUAGUGGAAGCUGACCGAAAAGAGGGAACGAAGUAACUUUCUGUAGGUUGGUGGGAUUUGAGUGCAGGGAAGAGAGGUGGACUGGGGCUCCAUGUUAGGUUAGAGUUUAGAUUUGAGAUCACAAUGGAUCUUAUCCAAUGAGAAAUCAACUUCUUCACACCUUAAUUAGGUUGGAGAGCACCACCUCCUGGGCCCGCUUCACACACGUAGUUGAACUCUACUCACACUUGAAAUAGAAGAGAACUUAUGUGAAAAAAAUUUCAUUUAUUACUCAAUCACUCAAUUAGUCACUAAGAGCCUAUGAUCAAGGAUUUAAGUGCCGUGGCACGGGGUCGUGCCGAACUUGCGGGCACGGUACGGCACGGUGCGUGCCGGGCCGUAUCGAUGCGUGCCGGUUACGAAAAAUAUAUGUGUGCCGACAUAUAAUGACAUGAAAUAUUUAUUUUUUUUAGCAAAAAAAUAUUCUAACUGUUUAUUAUGUAUCUUUAUCAAAUUUUUUGAACAUUAUUGAGAAAAUUACUUACUAAUUUAAAGAAUAAAGGGUUUUGAGCUGUGCCACUGGCACGGGGGUUGUUUUAUGCCGAUAUUUUGUUGGCACAAGACGACACUGUAGAUACAACCCGUGCCGAUGGACACUUAAUCCUUGCCUAUGAUUAUUUGUAGAGUUGGAACCGAAAGUCUGCUUACAAUUUUGAGUUAUCAUUUCAACUUUGUUCUUUGAUUCUUCUAUUAAUAAAAACUGUUCGAGAUUAAAAUUGGCGCCCUGUUGGGCACUGCCUUUUUGUGACCGCUACAACAAGCUGGCAUGAUAUUGAGCUGAAAUUCUUAACCGUUUAAAUUCUUUUCUGUUAUGAGAGGACAGAGUUAUCUUGGCGUGAUAUUUUGGUUUUUGGCUGAGUUAUGUAGUUUGGAAUUUUUUGAGAUUCAACCUUUUGGUUAUUUGCGGUAAACUUAUAAAAAUUUUCUAAUGUUUUGUAAGUUCAAUAGGUUUCAUGAGCAUUAAUUUCUUUCUCUAGUAAUAUUUGUGGUGUGUUGGCAUUCUCAUCAUUACCUUUUAACUGUUGAGUUUCCCACUGUUGCACAGGGUAUAUUCACCGACUACAAACAACCAUUUGCUGUAACAUAUUUGGGAGCCUCUCUUAUGGUCAUUUAUCUACCGUUAGCAUUUCUAAAGGAUUGGCUAUGCAGUAUUUGGAGAAGGCGUGGUAGAAGUGGUGGGACUUCGAAAAUGAUGAAUAAAUCUUCUUCAGGGUUUGACUCUCCUUUGAAACGUAGUGAAAUGCAAAAGAUGUUGGAAUUGGAAACUCAGAGCCCUUUAACUAAAAAAGACAGUGAUAUAAACCUUUCUGCAUGUAAUGAAGAAUAUCCAUUCAUCAUUGAACUUAGAGAUGAAGUUAAUGCCGAGCUUCUGAAGGAAAAUGUGGCACUUUCAACUAGGCAAAUUGCAACAUAUGCACUUUAUCUUGCCCCCAUAUGGUUUGUCACAGAGGUUAGAUAAUUUGACCUACUUCAUAAUAUAGCCAUAUAUUGUCUUUGUGGUGAACUAUCUUUUUUUAAAAUUUUUUUAUUUAUUUAUGUCACAACUUGUUUUCGAUCUUGGUGUGGAUAAAGUGUCAUAUAUGUCUUCAACAACCUAUUCUUAUAGUCAACAUGUCUUAUUUCAUAGUUGGGUUGCAGAGUUAUAUUGCCUUAGAAUAAGGCUAAUUUCAUUAAAAUUUGGAAAUCUCCAACCAUGAAAGGGACUAAAUUGAAUACAAGAAUGUGGAUUUGCUGUUACCUUUUUCCAUUCAUUUUUCUUUGCUUUAAGAAUGUUUGCAGAAAGCGAUAGAAUUUAUCUACUUAACGAAUAUAAAUUGCUUGCAAUUUUUGUUGGAGUUAAAGAACUACUUAUACAUCUUGUAUAUCGGAUCCUUGUAGUAUUUAUCAAAUGCAGCACUUGCAAGAACCAGUGUUGCAAGCACUACUGUACUAUCUUCUACUUCCGGGCUCUUUACUCUUUUCAUCAGCAUACUUUUGGGACAAGAUACCUUAAAUGCAGCAAAAGUUGUUGCUGUCUUCAUCAGCAUGGCUGGGGUUGUAAUGACAACUAUGGGCAAGACUUGGGCAUCAGAUGAGUCGGAAUUGAGCUCUUCUGGGUAAGCUCAUUGCGUAUGUCUUGUUCUUUGUUAUUUAUAAUCGAGAUAAAUUAAUAUGUACUCUUCAUGCUUAAGGUUCUAAAAUAAAGCUAAGCUAAUGUUUUGAGAAUAUGUAAGAUAUUUAUAAUACCAGCUGUUUUUGUGAUUGCCAAAGAUUAAUCUUCAGCAAGCAUGCCAUAUUAUGCAGGAAUGGGAAGAGGUCUCUUACUGGUGAUCUGUUUGGUCUUCUUUCUGCUAUGACAUAUGGUCUUUUUACUGGUUGGAUUUCAUCCUCUUUACCCUUUGUUUUUUUUUUUCUCUAUUAUGGAAUGGAGUGUAUAUAGUUUACCAGAUUGUUUUACAAUACUGCAGUGCUUCUCAAAAAGUUCUCUGGAGAGGAGGGAGAAAGAGUUGAUAUUCAAAAGCUGUUUGGAUAUGUUGGACUCUUCACUCUUGUAGCUCUCUGGUGGCUUGGUAAGGUCUAUCAUUGCAUUAUAUAACUACAUCAAGCUGGUAACUGUACUAUCAUGUUGCAUGUUAAGGAACAUAUGAUCCAUGUCAUGAAUGUUGUAAAUGAGCUUUAGAAGUGCUUUUUUUGCCUUUGUUUAACUCCUAUGUUGUUCUUUUCUGAUAUCUCUAGAUUUCUUUGCUUUUAGAAUCAUUACAUAUUAAAUUCAUUGUAUUGCAUUCAAACUUCUAAGUAGUCAUUUUCUUCUGAAUACAUCUAAUUCUUCACAGUCAGAAAAUCUCCACUUAAUUUGAUAAUCUCAUAGGAAUUUCAUGUUUCUUCGACAUUCCUAUCAAAGACCUCGAGGAGUCUCCUCUUCCAUUGUUUGUAACUUUAAACAAAUCUUCCUUUAGUCAGACAAUUGUCAAAAGUCCCUUUGUUAAUCUCAACGUGUUUGCACUGUCGACCUACAAGAUGAAUGCCUCAACAAAUUGCCUACGAAGUUUUUUCUAACUGCCUAUUCCCCCUUCUUUUUCCCAAGUUGUUGGGGUCACCUGUGGUUUCUCUUUAAUGCAUACUUAUAUCUUACUUAGAGAACUUCCAACUUCAUCUCACAGAAAGUGGUGGUACGCUUAAUUGGUUGACCAUUCUCUAUAUAUACAUAUAUAUAUAUAUGUAUAUAUUUUUUCUUUUCCUAUGAUAUGAUAUGUUUUGGAAUGUAAAAUAGUGUUUAUUUGUUUAGCUUAUCUGGUACACCAGUAUUUGUUUAGCUUAUCUGGUACACCAGCGUCACUCGCUGCAGGACCCACGAUUAUUUGCUUCUAGGUGCAUAUGGGAAGCUAAGAGAAAAGAAAAGAAUAUCUGCCGGUAAUUGUUCUAGAACAUUAUAUAAGGUUUGAGAAGGGAUGAUUUUGAAGUAGGUGUUUGCUAGUACUAGGUAAUGGCAUUCUUGAAGUACUGCUAUUUCAAAAUCUUUUAUGAAAUCUUGUAAAUACGUGCUGCUUCAUGGUCUGACAGGGUAUUAUUGUGGUACUACCCCUUUGUUGGCAGACAGCUUGAAAAUCUCUUACCAUGAGUUGCAUUUGGAAGCUCUGAAAUAGAUGAAAUGGAGCAUUAAUUUUGAUAAACUAUCCUAUUCUUUUAGCUGAAUUGUUGCUGACUCAUUUCUUGAUAAACUAGUUUUCUUAGUAAUUUCCUCUCUCAUAAGGGGGUUAAAUGCUAUUAUCGAUGAGAAUUCUUUCCUAUGUCAUAGGUGCGUCAAUCCAGUAUUUUGUUUUUGUCUCUCUUUCAGUGUGGCCCUUGACCGCAUUAGGGAUUGAACCCAAGUUCACAAUACCCCAUUCUGCUAAAUUGGACGAGGUAGUGCUAGCUAAUGGCUUUUUUGGCAGCGUACUCUCUGACUACUUCUGGUAUGUGUGAAGCAACUUUGGCCUUUUAUGAGUUCCCAUGAAAAUGUUAUCUAAUCAAGGAUAACCCAUAUGCAGGGCUCUCUGUGUUGUUUGGACUACUCCAUUGGUAGCCACCUUAGGCAUGUCCCUCACUAUACCCCUUGCAAUGGUUGCUGACAUGGUCAUUCAUGGUCGGCAUUAUUCUGCAAUCUAUGUUCUAGGUUCAGCUCAGGUAAUUCUGUAAUAUUUCAUUUUAAUCAGGGGUUACAUUUAUGCUUAUAUUGGUUCUAUUCUGUUCUUAUACAAACAACUGAAAUCAAGCGAUCCUGCGAGAAUUUUCUUGUGAACAUACUCGUUCACAUUUUGUGUUAGCAAGGUAACACUUAUAUUUAUAUUUCCUACUACUAGAUAUUGGUGCAAAAUCAGUGUUUGAGGGUGACUUGUCAGCACCUUUUAGGCAUUGCUUGAAGUUUCCAAUCGAAACUUGGAAAUGGGAACUGAAACAUUUCGAAUCCAUUUAGUGCUGAUCUGAAACUAGGGUUUAAAUUCAGAACACUUUGUUUACCUAAAAUCGCUCUAUGUAGGGCUUAGAGCGCCAAACUAGAAUGGCUAAAACUAGUGUAUUCAUUUGUAAAAUAAUUUGAGUUAUAAAUUAUAGGCUAAAUUACAAAAAAUCCUCUCGUCAAUACCCGGUUUUUCACUUUUCCCCAUGUCAUUCAAAAACCUACACUUUGCCCCUUUAAAAAAUAAAAAAUGUUCACUUUGGCCCCUGUCGGAAUUCAGUGUGCCAUUAGGAUUCCGCUUAUAUCUUAUUUUUUAUAUCCAAAAUAUUCCUGAAACCCUCAUCUUCCUCCUUCCUCAUCGACAUCCUCGGCCGCAUUGCUAUGAGAUCGUUGGCGCUAACAAUUAAUCCCAAAAGCUCGAGCUGUUAGAAAUACGCAACCAAUUCACUUAAAACGUACAGAUACAGCGCCCCACGGGUCUUGAUUGUAACUCGGCCUAAUCAGCACAUGCCACUUCGAAUAUGACUCGCCCCACCCAGCCUUACGCAAUUUCGAACAUCACUCAGCCCAACAUGGCCUCCUGCCACAGAGCAGGAUGCUGGCUAAUUUAAGCCAACAAUCCCUCCUUCAGCACCUGCACACAUUUACAGUAUGCAAGAAUCGAAUCCGUGACCUCUGGCUUUGAUACCACUUGUGAGAUCGUUGGCGCUCACCAUUAAUCCCAAAAGCUCGAGUUAUUAGAAAUGCGCAACCAAUUCACUUAAAGCGUAUAGAUACAGUGCCCCACGAGUCUCGAUUGUGACUCAGCCCAACCAGCCUCACGCCACUUCGAAUAUGACUCGGCCCACCCAGCCUCACGCCAUUUCGAACAUGACUCGGCCCAACAUGGCCUCCCGCCGUAGGGCAGGAUGCUGGCCCAUUUAAGCCAACAGUCGCCUUUGCUUCGCCCUACUCCGGUGCCUCGCCCUCGUCCUUGCCCUCGCCCUCGUGCACUUCUCUGUCCGUGCCUUGGUCGAGGGAGACACGGGCGAGGGUGCGGGAUGAGCAGGAUUGGGAAGAAGACGAAGAAGAUGAGGGUAAUUUGGUCAUUUGUCACACCGUACCCUUCUGUGAACAUUUUUUAUUUUUUAAGGGUGCAAAGUGCAGGUUUUUUAAUAACAGAGGAAAAAAUAAAAAAACGAAUAUUGACAAGGUGGUUUUCUGUAAUUUAGCCUAAAUUAUAACUAGAACUAACUGAAGUAGAAUCAGCAUGCAUAUGUUUAUCAAGUUAUUCUUAGCAAAUGCGGAACUUUGCCUAAUGACUAGUAAUUUAAAUUUGUUGGCCUAUAUUUCUGUCAUCCUUUUCCUCUUUAUUCUAUUUGAAACUUCAGUAUGUAGUGCUUAUGAAUUCACUUGAACUAUUCAAACAAGUGGCAUCGACAUUUUUAUUGAACCCUAGUGUUUUUUUUUUUUUUUUUUUUUGACUUUCGGAUUGUCAAGGUAUGCAUAUUUAAACAGUAUUUCUCACUCAUGGUCUAUAUCUUUGUUGUGCUAUAGGUAUUUGCUGGGUUUGUGAUAGCUAACCUUUCCGAUCGGGUUUCUCGAUUUUUGGGAUGGUAGCAGAAUGAUGUAUGUAUUCUUAUGUAUUCAUUCUUUAUACACAAACAACAUUAAUUCACCUCCCUUCGCAAAUUGAAAGGAAGUCAUUUUCUUCACAGAUGGAUCCCCCGGAAAAGAUAUAGUUGCUUAGGCUAUCAUUCCCUCUCUCUCUCUCUUUUUUUAAUAAUUUUUUUUGGUAUUUUUUAACUGGUUGGAUAGUGUUAUCGGAGCAGAAGCAUUGGUAUGUUUUCGUUUGUGCGGAGUGAAGUCCAAAAGCAAUAAAGUAAUUCUUUUUGUUCAAAUUCUUUUAGAUGUAGGUUGUUUUGUUGUUGUAAAUGUUUGUAAAAUAUUUUAUAGUGUUUGUUCAAAAUUUAUUUAUUUUUCUUGAUUACUUGAAAUUUUAUUGGAUAUGUUGUGCUUGGUUGAAUGCACAUCCCGCUCCGCAGGUAGUCAUCUAGCUAGUUUUAAUUUGUUUAGUUGUUUCCAUUGAAAUUUACAUUAUUCUUAUGAAUUUUUACAUGGAAAGUUUAAACUCGCUUCUGAUCUUAGUUUCCAUAUAUUUUCCCUUCAAGAAUAUUGUAUAUUCGAGACACUUUUUACAUUUAUUGUUGGCAUUUUUUGAGGGCUUUUAUUUAGAAUCAUUCUACAGGUCACCUUUCAAAUCUAUUUUUUAAAGAAUAGAAAAAUGGCUGCAGGAGAGAGAUAUGAGGUAUCAAAUUUGAAGGGGUCCCUUACUUUCAUUCUAGCUGUUGAAUAUAAAAUAUUUCGAAAUGUUGUUCUCUACAUUUUAAACUUAAUUGGUUGUCGCAAACAUUCUGUUCGUUUUCAUUGCGCUUCUCUUAUGUAAUUUUUUUUUUCUUUAAUUCAAAUUUAUGGUUGGAUAUCAUAUCCAAAGGAUCAGUAAACAAAACCCUACAUAUUCAUGUGUAAGGCCAUAAAAUUUGAAAUGGCCUCAGUUUUGAAGGGUCCUGCAAAAGCUUUCUUAUUAGGGUCUUUUUUUCGAAUUUUGUUUUACUAUGAGGUGUAAGGUGACUUUAGUGCAAUUUAUUAAUAAAGUAGCUAGAUGUAGUUGAAUAUGUGCUUAUCACUAUUCUGGUACAGAUUCCGCUCAAUUAGUCAAGUAUUUAUUACCAUCCCCUUUAAAUUAAUUUCUAACGCUUUAAUACUCCAUAUUAGAUCGAAAAAAAAAAUUAUGAAUUAAAAAUAUAAGGAUCAUGGGUUAUGGUACUAAUGAUUAGACUUAAGUAUUAGGUUGAUGAUUUGAGCCUAAUAAAUUAUUAGUAUUAAUGAGUUAGUCAUUAUAUUUAGAACCAAAGCUAAAUACUAGUUGCGAGUAUAAGAGUUAAGUGUUAUAUGCUGGCAGAUUGUUUAAAAUUAUAAAGUUGAUAAUAUAAUCCAAUUAUUUAAAUUGAUGAGUUUGUGGCAGAUAGUUAAAAAAUUAUGAACUUGAUAAUAUAAUCCAAUCAUUCAAAUUGACGUGUUUGUCGAAAGUUUGUAAAACUGUUUGUUAGAAUAAAAUAUUUCAUAGUAAUAUAUUGUUAAUCUCGUGGAGUUAGAAUACUAUUGAUAGUAUGAGAAUAAUAGUUACUACUAACUUUUCGAACAUUGGAUAUCUAGGAUUUAAUCGGGGUUUGGUGGAAUACUAAUAAUUUAAGGAUGAAAAAGUUGAUAAUAAUUACUAUUCAUAUACUAUCCAUGGUGUACUAUCUCAACUUUUGUUAAUUUGUCAACUUUGUUCUCCGAAAGGUACAGUAGGAUUAGUUAAUAGAUAUUUAUCGAGACAUUUUCUUUCGACACACGAAGGAAAAUAGGGAUCAUACUCAAAUCAAGAAAUAUAUAGUAUUAUAUAGCAUUACCUAGUUUAUAAGGUCAAUAAGUGUUGAGUGAAAUGAGCCAGAGCAUCUUGCCUAUGCGCCCAAGACCUGGUUGGGCCAAGUCACAAUCAAACUCUGCAAGCUACCUGUUGGCUACAUAAUGGAGGCCAGUUGAGUUAUACUAAAUCACAAUCGAGACCUAUAGAUGUAGUGCAAUAAUCCAAUAAGUCACAAUCGAGACCUAUAGAUGCAGUGCAAUAAUCCACCAUACGAAUCAAGAAGCUACUAUACUUUUAUAAUGUAAAUGCAUUAGGAGUCACAUCUUAUGAUAUUUUUCCAACACAUAAAACAAGUUAGCAGUAUAUAUAUACUUAAAAUGUCAUAAUAAUGGUGUAGGAAACAAGAGAAGUUCUCACUAUAUAUAAUGAGAAAGUUUUAUGUUUUAUUACACAUGGUUUUCCUUAUUUCUGUUGCCACCUCAAUUCAUAGAAACUAAUUUAUGCACAACCAUUGAAACUUCUCCAUACAAGAAAUCAACAUAACUAUCCAGUCUAAUGCGCACUCUCCGUCCGCAGCGAGUGCAAAACAAGAAAGCUAUUGAAACCCAAAAACCUCCUAUAAAUGCAGCUGUAGAUAUUGCAUAGAAGAUGAUUCUGUCAAUACAAGUAACCUCUUUAUCUUCUUCUUCAGAUGAUGUUGUUGUGUUUGAUGAAGUAGUACAUGUUCCGUCUAAUGGCGGUCCGUGUAGGCCAACAUUGCCUUCAUAAGUAGCCUUACCAAAUGUGGCAAAUUGAUCUCGAAAACUCGGUAUGCAUCCAGAUAAAUUGUUUUGGGCUAUAGAGAACACCUCCAAGAACUUCAAUUGGCCUAAUUGCCAAGGAAUGUCACCGCUUAAUAUGUUGUUGGAUAUGUCAAGACUCUCAAUUUGAUAUAAAUUUGAUAGGGCUGCAGGGAUUGGACCCGUAAGUUGGUUGUAGGAUAAAUUUAGAGAUAGAAGUCCACUAAGAUUUCCAACUUCAGGUGGAAUUUUUCCUGUUAAUUUGUUUUUUGAUAAAUCAAUUAAGGUCAUAUAAGCCAAAUCAACCCUUUGAUAGACAUACAAAUUGCCUUUGGUACUAAACUCUUCCCCUUGUAUUUCCCCCGCAAGAUUGUACCCCAACAUAAUAGAGAAAUUUAAAGAGUCAAUAACUCCCCAUUCAAAGGAAUCGCCACCAAUGGUCCAUAGAUCCGAAAGUUGAGAGGAGGAAUAUGAUUUACUGAUUCUGAAUGCCAUUGUACCAAGGCAAGACGGUAUCGAUCCAGAAAAGCUGUUGUGUGACAGGUCUAAUACGUGCAAAUUUUGCAAGUUACACAACUGAAUAGGCACCAGCCCUUUGAAGGAAUUUUCUCUCAGAAUAAGAAUCAUCAAUGCAAGCUCACUUCCUAUUUGCGUUGGAAUUAGGCCUGAAAGGUAAUUUUUGCUAAUGUCUAGUACUACAAGUCGCGAGAGAUUAAAAAGAACACUUGGAACUUUUCCGGUCAAAGCAUUGUUAGCCAAAUUGAGAUAAAUUAUGCUUGGAGGGAAGCAAAGAGGUAAAGAACCAGAGAAAUUGUUGUAGGAGAGAUCCAAUACCAGGAGCUCCGUUAGAUUGCAUAAGCUUUGUGGAAGUUGUCCAUGGAAAUGAUUUCCUUUGAGAAUAAGAAAUUCCAAAAACGAUGCCUUCAAAAUGGUUUCUGGAAUUGAACCAUCUAGGUUAUUGUCAUGAACAUCCAAUAAACUUAAUCCUGCAAUGUUGUUUGGUAUUGUUCCUGAUAGCAUGUUACCAUCCAAGUAAAAGUUUGAAAUAUAACAUGUAGAAUUUAGGUUAUGAAUUUUCCCAUGCAAAUUGUUAUUGGAAAGCUUCAAGACGCCUAAACCACACAUUAGGUGAGCUGGUACUUCACCGGUGAGAUGAUUGUUCGAAAAAUCCAAGACCGACAACUGUGUCAUGUUGACUAAUGAUGAAGAGAUGCUUCCAAUUAAAUGAUUUGAUGAAAAGUUAAGCACCAUCAGAUUAGGAAAAACCAUACUAAUGUUACAAGGGAUCGAACCGCUGAGCUGAUUCAUGGAGACAUCGAUUGCAUUCACACUUUCUAUGUGAUGACUAGGAAGAUGAAUUGGUCCUGUUAACAAGUUACUUCCUAAGUUCAAGUAUUCCAUUUUGGUGUUGUUGUUGAGCAGGCAAGUCGGGAUGUUUCCCGUUAAGUUGUUGUAGGAGAGGUCAAGUACUUCGAGGUGAUGUUGAGAGCAGAGAAACAUAGGGGUGCGAAUGGCAUUCUCAUCCAGCUUACAACUUGACAGCAUAAGAAUUCGCAAUUGUAAUUGUUGAAUUGAACUCCAAGUAUUAAUAUGCACCUCUAGUCGUGUGUUGUUUGAGAGUAUGAUUCCUUCAAGCUUUGACAUGUUGGCGAAAGAGUGCAGUGAAAAUUUCCCAUGAAGGUAGUUGUAUGAAAGGUCUAGAUAUUGAAGUGAGACAAGCCCACUGAAGAGAUGCUUCGAUAUAGUUCCUUCAAAGAAGUUAUGCGAAAGAUCAAUAUGCUGAAGGGAUGUCAUGUUUGCGAGAGUUGGAGGAAGAGUCCCACAGAAUUGAUUACGUCCAAGGCGCAACUCUCGCAAGUUCUGUAGAUCUCGGAGAACUGUACCUGAUAAUAAGAUAUACAUUUUUUAUCGCAUAGCCCUUAAAAGAGACAUCUAGUAAUUUUGAAAUGGCUAUAUAGAAAUCAUACCUUUUAAAGAAAGUGACCCAUUUAAAUGAUUGUCACUCAAGUCCAAGACUUCGAGAGACAUUAGAUACCCCAAAGACGUUGGAAUCUCUCCUAUAAAAUUGUUUCCACUAAGAUCAAGCGUCUUUAGCUUCUUCAAUCCUACUAAGGCUGGAAAAAAGACACAAGAAAGCCAUAAAUUAUGAAGAGAAAGUAUUGAUUACAAUUUUAAUAGUGCAUAGCUUUCUAUUGCCGCCAUUGUUUAAGUUCACUUGUCUUAGGUUCGGUUGGGUUUGAUUCACCGUCUUGGCGGGUUUGAUUCACCAACUUGGAUUUAGUUUAUUUUUUUAUCCAUGAUCAGCGUGACCCACUAUUGACUUGGGUUUAGUUCAAUUUAAGUUCGUGUCCAAGCCAGCUAGACUUAGGGUCUGUUUGGCCUAGCUUCUGAAAAAGUGAUUUUCUGAAAAAGUGAUUUUAGUUUGGAAAAAUGAUUUUGGUUAAAAGCUGUAGAGCGUUUGGCAGAGUUUACAUAAAAGUGAUUUUUCUGAAAUGAUUUCAAAAUUUAAAUAUUAAAAUUUUAAAUUUCAAAAUUUAAAUAUUAAAAUUAAAUUUAAAAUUUAAAUGUAAAAAUAUAAAUAAUUAUGAAUUAAGAUAUUAAUAUUUAAAUAUAUUUAUAUUUUAAAUUUCAAAAUUUAAAUUUUAAAGUAAUUGAAAUUUAAAAGUUUUAAAUUUAAUUUAAAUUUAAAUUAAAUUUAAUUUAAAUUUUAAAAUUUAAAUUUUAAAUUUAAAAUAAAAUUUUAAAAUUUAUUUAAAAUUUUAAAUAUUUAAAUUUCAAAUCUAAAAUUUUAAAUUUUAAAUUUUAAAUUUUAAUUUAAAUAAUUAUGAAUUUAAACAUUUAAUAUUAAAUUUUGAUUAUUUAAAAUUUUAAAUGGUAAAAUUGAAUAUUUAAAAUUUUAAAUUUUAAAAAGUUAAAUUUAAAUUUUGAAAUUUGAAAUUUAAAAUUUUAAAAAUUGAAAUUUUAAUUUGAGAUUAAAAAUUUAUAAUAAAAUUAUAAUUUAAAAUUUAAAAAUUUUAAAUUUUUAAAUUUAAAUUUUAAAAUCUAAAAUGUCAAAUUUUAAAUUUUAUCUUAAAUUUGAAAUUUGAAAUUUGAAAUUUUAAAAUCUAAAAUUUGAGAUUUAAAAUUUAAAAUUAAAAUUUAAAAUUUAAAGUUUGAAAUCUAUUUUUUAAAUUUUAAAAUUUAAAAGUUAAAAUUUAAAAAUUCAAAAAUGAUUGUGAAAAUUAAAAAUUAAAAUUAAAUUUAAAUUUAAAUAUUGAAAUUAUAACAAAAUUAAAAACUUGAAAUUUAAAUCCAAAAUCAGAAUUAGAUUUCAAGAAGCAACUUUUUUCUGCUUCUGAUUCUGGACUUUCAAAAUCAGUUUUCUGAUUCUAAAAAGCAGAAUCAGAUUUUAAAAGUGAGUUGCCAAACGCUCUAUUCAGUCGAAAAUCACUUUUCAGUCCAAAAGUGCUUUUUAAAAGAUAGACCAAACACCCCCUUAGGCUUGGCUCUAACUAAUUUAUAUUCUAUCCUUUUUUUUAAAGAGAAAAGUAGUAUGCUAAUGUUUCAAUCAAUCAGAGAUGAGCUAAGCUACAAAAUGAAACAACUAGGACUAAAAGCAAAAAAAAUGCAAUGAGAGUCCCAAAGGUUCCUACAAGAGCAUAUCUCCACCAACAUCUAUCUUAAGGUGAGCUUCUUUUUACUAAAAAUUUUUCUAUUCCGCUCCAACCAGAAAACCCACCAAGAAGUCGUGAUAGUCGUUAACUCCUUUCCCUCUAAAGUGGCCCCCUUGACUUUAUGCUUAUGCUGGGUUUUGUUAAAACCCAACCAUUUAAGCAGUUGAUUUGGUACGACUUGGGUUAGAACCUAUGGUAAGUCCAUUAGCCCUUUUGGCUAAGUAAUAUGAUUUUUUUCAGAUAUUUAAUUAAGAAGCCAACAUUAUAUCAAAUCUUAGUGCACGUCAAAUUGUGAUUAAAGGCAUGCGCAAGCCAGAAUGCGCCUAUCACAAAGACGAUGAUUUUGGUUUAAUCGAACACAAAUCAAACAUAUCAAAAAGAAGGCACUUUGGAUUGAGCUGUGCCUACCACGAAAAUGCCGAUUUUGAUUUAAUCGAGCCCAAAUCAAGCUAACACGAAGAUGGUGAUUUAGUUUGAACCGUGCCUAUUAUAACGACCAGACCCACUAGCAAUAAUAACUUAUUCGCUUUAAACAACUGGUCCAAAUUGCUUAAAUCCAGUUAUUAUUAUUAGGAUACGCAGCUUCUUGUAUUCCCAAUCAGAACCCCUUUUCCAUAGAAAAGAAUUAUUAUAUGAUAUGAGAUUCUAAAGGUGGCUCUUGCGGGUUAAAGAGGUGAGAUUCUAGAGGUGGCUUUUGCGGGUUAAAGAGGUGAGAUCGUGUUAAGGAGGUGAGAUUCUAGAGGUAACUCUUGUGCGUUAAAGAGGUGCUUUCCAUCAAACCCAUAGUAUUGAGCUUUGAUCCAUAUAGCACUUAGCUCUCACACUUUCAACUGAUACCAACUGUAUUAACCAGUUCAACUAGUAAUAAUAACUUGUUGGGCCCAAACCAUUGGCCUAAAGUGUUUAAGUCUAGUUAUUAUUAUUAGAGUGCGUGGUCUUUUAUAUUCUCAAUCAGUUUUCAUCCGAUAUGAGACUAUUAGGAUGUUACACCUAUCCUAAAGACGACCAUUUUGGUUUAACUUGACACAAAUCAAAUCUAUCACAAAGGCGGUGUUAAAAAUCGGAACGGCGAAAAUAAGAUCCGAAGAAAAUACUUAAUGGAGGGGAAAAAAAAAAAAGAAAAGAAAAAAGCACACCAAAAUUUACGUGGUUCGACCAACGGCCUACAUCCACGGACGAAGACGGAAUUUAUUAAUACCAAAGGCGGAGUACAAAGAUUGAAUCUCUCAAAAAUAAGACCCCCCAAAGAAUAAAAUAUAUAAGACGCGCGCAUCCCCAAUGAAGCACGUCCUUACAAUGGGAUUGGAUCUGAGAGCAACAAUAGAAAUCCUCUUGGCCGUCCGGACCACCCAGCAACUUAGGCCACCCAGCAACUUAGACUUAAUUAGUGCAUGGCUUUUAAUUAGUCGCACCGGCUUCAUUAACUUGGCCACGACAUGUAUAUAUAAUACACAUCUCCAAACUAGAGUCUAAUUCUAAUUUUAGUCCAACUCAACUUCUAAACACAAAUCUAAUUCUAAUUCAAUUAGAAUUAGCCUCUUACUUAUAAUCUAGGGGCAAUUUCAUUGGUACCCCUGAAAAGUUCAAUAUUAUCAUAAAUGCCCCUACAUAAUUUGUAAUAUCAAAAUUGCCCCUAUAAAUAUUUACUUUGUUUCAAAAAUACCCCCAACCCAUUUUAAUCUUAGUUAUAAAAUGAUAUAAUGAAGAUUAAGAAUAAAAUUAUCGGUUUUGCCCCUAAAAUGGUGAGGGGCAUAUAAAUAUACCUGGUCCAUUUUUUUAAAUUUUUUUUAUUUAUUCAGAUUUCAAAUAUUAUAAUCAGUUAAAUAAAAAAAUUCAAUUAAUAGGUUAAUUAGCUAUUAAUAAUUAACUAUUAAAUGAAUUUAUACUAGUAUCGACUCAAAAUUAGUCAAAGGUGUUAAAUUUAAUGGAAUAAUUAUCUUACUUUGUAAAAUUUUUUCAUCAUCUAAAUUUUUUAUCUUUUCAAUUUAUUAUUUAAAAUUAUUAUUGGUUCAUGCAAAAUCCGUUGAUUACAAGAAUUUAGUUUGUCCUUUCAUAAUACAACAAUUUUUUUUUUAUUUAAGGUUGGAUUUUAUACUAAUAUAUUGCUAUUAGUUCUAAUUUAUUCAUAGCGACGAAUUUUCUCUACAUUAAGUAGUCAAAUAAAAAAAAAAUUAUUACUUUACAAUCAGUGUAGUAAAAAAGUAGACAUAACUAAAAUGAAUUAUCUUCUCAUUUUGACAAUAAAGCAAAAAAAAUUUAAUUUAACUACAAUUUAUUCCAAAUAGAAAUAUUUAUUUAAUUAAAAUGAAUAAUUUUUUAAAAGUAAAAUCAAUUGAAUUUUAUUAAUUUUUUAGUCUAGAUAGAAUUUAAUUAAUUUUGAAAUAUAGUAGAGGAUAUUUAUGAAAUAGAAUUAGUAAUUGACCAUUGAAUAAUUAAGAGGGGUAAAGUUGGAAUAUAAAUAUUAUUAACUUUAAUAUGGAUGGAUAUUUGAUAGCAGGGUUAGUUUUGAAAGUGUUUUAAAUUUGAGGGGGUAUAUACAUGAUAUUUCAAAUUUUAAAGGGAUAUUUAUGAAAUUAGAUGUUUUUAGAAGGGUAUUGAGGAAAUUUUCCCUAUAAUCUAUAUAAGCUAAACUAAUCUAAAUUAUAUCUUAUCGUAAUGAGACUAGGAUUUAUCCUCAAUUUAGAUAACUAUAAAUCUAAACCAAAUUUAACACGCGGCAAUUUGGUUUGAAUCGUCUCUAUCACGUAGACGGCGAUUUUGGGUUAACAGAACCCAAAUUAAGCCUAUCAUGAAGAUGGCAACUUGUUUUAAGCUGAAUUGGAUCAAGCCAAUUACAAAGACGGCAAUUCAGUGAAAGCAAACUCGAAGCAAGACUAUCACAAAGACGGCGAUUCUAUUUAAGCCGAACGGGAUCAAGCCUAUCACAAAGAUGACAAUAUAAGACAAAUAUUUAUUAUUUCAUUUCAUUUAUAUAUUUAUUGGAAAAUAUCAAAUUUUAAAAUUUUGUACAAAUUUAAAAUUUAAAAUCUUAAAUUUAAAUUUAAAUUUAAGUUAUUUAAAAAUAAAAUUAAGUAAAAGAAUUAUUAUUUGCAAACAACAAAAUUUUUUUGACAAACAGCUUUACAAAAUUACUUCAGUAUAAUCAUUUUUUCAUCGAAACUCAGCUAAAUGCUUUACAACUUUUAACCAAAAUUAAUUUUCUAAAGUAAAAUCAAUUCUACAGAAAUUACUAUUCCAGAAUCUAGGUCAAAUGGACCCUAUAAUGAUCUUAGGAUCUCUUUAUUUUGGAAAGUAAUUCAAAAAAUUUCAAAACAAGGCAACACUAUAUUUCUUUAUCUCUUUCCUCAAUCAUUUAAGAAAGUCAUCAUUAAAUUAAUCACAAUUUAUUUUCUUUUCUUCCUCUAUUUUAUGUUUAUUUUCUUUCCUCUUUUUUUAAAAUUUAAUUUUAAAUUUUUUUAUCCGAAUAGAUUGCAUAAGAAUUGACAAUUCUAAUUGUUGAAUUGAACUACAGAAUAAGAAUUCACGAAAAACUAUACAUGAUAAUAAGAUAUACAUAAUAUUAUAUUGCAUAAGCCUCCAAAGAGGCAUGUAGUAAUUUUGAAAUGACACUAUCAAAAGCAUGCAUACCUUUGAAAGAAUGUGAAGCAUUUAAUUUAUUCGAACCCAAAUUCAAGACUUCGAGAGAUGUUAAAUAUCCCAAAGACAUCGGGAUCUCUCCUGUAAAUUGGUUUUCACUGAGAUCAAGCUCCUUUAGCUUCUUCAAUCCUACUAAGGCUAUAAAGAUUAAGACACAAAAAAAGCGUUAGUCAACAAGAAUCUCUCUCUCUCUCUCUCUCUCUCUCUAAUAUCCUCUUUCUUUUUCUCUUAAAGAACUUUUUUUUUUAAUCUCAUGGUUCAAUUUAUAGUGAUUUAGGAUCUCUACAUUUCGAAAAACAAUUCAAAAAAUUUCAAAACAAGACAAAACAACAUCUCUUUAUUAUUUCCUUAUUGAUACCCAGUUCUCUAAAGAGAAUCGUUACAAAAUUAAUCACAAUUUAUCUAUAUUUUCUUUCCUCCAUUUCAUAUAGUUAUUUUCUUUCCUGCUUUUUUCAGUUUAAUUUUUAAAUUUUUUUUUUCCGAAUAGAUAGCAUAAGACUUGACAAUUCUAAUUGUUGAAUUGAACUUCAGCAUAAGAAUUCUUGAAGAACUAUACGUGAUAAUAAGAUAUACAUAAUAUUAUAUCGCAUAAUUCUCAAAAGAGGCAUGUAGUAAUUUUGAAAUGACACUAUCAAAACCAUACCUUUCAAAGAAAGUGACGCAUUUAAUUCAUUCCAAUGCAAAUUCAAAACUUCCAGAGAUGUCAGAUAUCCCAAAGACACUAUGAUCUCUCCUGUUAAUUGGUUGUCACUAAGAUCAAGCACCUUUAGCUUCUUCAAUCCUAGUAAGUCAGGAAAGAAGACAUAGGAAAGGUACUGUAAGUCAACAAGAGAAAGUAUCGAUUAUGAUCUGCAACAGCAUAAAUCUUCCCAUUAGAGAACUUUAUAUGGUGGAAUAUAACAUGUUACUUUCAACAGCUAGUGUGCUCUUUGAACUAUUGUUUCCCAACUUUAGGACUUCUCUCAUGAAUGUUAGUUAUGAAAAGAUAAUAGGUUCUAACACAAAUUUGAUUAUUUCUCAAAUGGAGGACAGACUAACUUAUUUAAGGCCUGAUAUUAAUAUAGGACUUAAACAAUUUUAUGAAGUAGAAAAGAAGAAGCCAAAAAAAAGGAAAUCACUAACUGCUAGUAAAAAAACAAAAAAAGAAAAAAACCACUAAACAAAAAUAAGGAGUUAUUUGGUUCUAUUGAAUUGCAACUGUACUGUAAUUAUAACUGCAUACAUAUUCAAAUCUGACAUUUAUUUCGAUACAUUUAAAUAACUAUUACAGUUGCAAUUAUAUGAGAAGGCUCAACUACAGCAUGCAAAUUCAGAUAUUUACACCUAUAGUAUUUUUUUUACUAUAUUCAACCCAACAAAAUAUAUAUCGUUAUAAUUAUUGUAUUUUUAAAAUACUGUAUGUAUAUUCUUCAACUAUAUUGUGUUUAUAAUUAUGUUGAACUAAACGAUCCCAAGAGGAGUAAGUGGCUUACCCGCUUACUCCUUUCUCUCGUGUAUGCUACGAGAUGCUCUUCCCCGCUUUCCUUUCUCUCGUGUUUUUUUUUUUUUUUUUUUUGGUGCAGGGAAACGAUGAGGGGGCGGGGGCAGGGUUUUAUAGACGGUGGAUGUUUGUCAUUUUACUAUUUUUUUAUUCUUACUAUUAUUAUUAAUUUUUUUAACUAAAAACUGACAAGAAAAACUGACCAUCCUGGCGCAAGUGGUAAAAAACAAUCCUAAUUGAUUCAGAUUUCUAGCUAGGUUUAUUUUCGAAGCGGGUAGCAUACUAUCUAUCUUUCAAAAAAGAAAAAAAUUAUCAGUUGUUUGAUUUGCGAAUUUGAAUAUAAAAUUAAAAAAUUUAUCACUUGUUGGAUUUGUGAAUUUGAAUAUAAAAAUUAUUUUACAAAAAUAGACUAAUAAAAUAAGUUAUAACUAAAUCUCUUUUUUUUUUGACUCCAACUAAAAACAUUGGAAAUUAAGUCACCAAAUAUGAAUAACUUAGCUAUGGUAAGAAGUUAUUGUUGGUCGUAACUUUAAUAUUUGAACUUAUUUUUAAAGUUAAAUUUCACUUUAAUUGGAUUAAAAUCAUAAUCACAUCCUGAGUUUUAUUUGUAAAUUCAAUUUCAACAUAAAAUUUUUAAAUUCAAAUUUGUUACUUUAUAUUUAAAUUUAAUUGUUUAUUAUUUUAAUUUUAUUUUAAUUUGAAUUCUAGAAUUUAAAUUUAAAUUUUGAAAUUUAAAUGUUAAUCCAAUUAUCUUAGCUAAGAACUUGAAUCUGAACUUUGAAUUCAAAUUGUUCCAAUUAUAAAUUCAAAUUAUGGACUGAAAUUUGAAUUUAAAAUUUAAAUUUAAAGUUGAAAUUCAAAUUCAAUUUUAAAUUUUCUAUUUACAUUUAAUUUCAAUAAAGAAUUUCGGUUUGAAAUUUAGAUUCGAAUUAUAAAUUAAAAUAUUCAAUUUGAAUUGUGAUUUAAACUCAAAUUUUUAAUUAAAUUAAAUAUUAAUUCAAAUUGUGAAUCCAUAUUUGAAUUUACAAUUUAAGAUCAAAGAGUAAAUUAAAAUAUAAUUCAAAUUAUGAAUUCAAAUUUAAAUAAAUUUUUUAAUUUCUAUGUUGAACUUUUAUUUUAGAAUUUAAUUUUAGUUAUGAGUUAUAAAUUAAACUGUAAAUUAAAAUUAUAAAUUUAAUUUUUAUCUUAAAUUUUAAUUAUAAAUUCAAUUCAGAUUUAAAUUUUAAAAUAUAAUUUUGAAUUCUAAAUAUAAAUAUAAAUAUAAUUUUUUAAUUUAAAUUGUGAAUAUAAGUUGUUUGUUUAUAUUUUUAUCUCCUUAUAUAUAAUUUAGUAAUCAAAAUUAGAAAACUAUAGUUUUAAUGGUUUAUUCUAUAGUCAAUCAAGAACUAAAAAGUUACUUUUGUAAAGUUAUUUUUACAAAAAUAAUUUGUUUUCAUUUUACCCACUUUCGAUCAACUGAAUAAUUUAGCUUCAGAACAACUCAACUACAAUACACUGCAAUGAGUUGUGUUGAAUCUAUCUAUUCAUUAAUUCAAGGCCAAUUUGCACCGUGUCGACGUACCGUAUCGGUAAGUUUCCGGCACGACCCCGUGUCACUUCACUUAAAUCCUUAUGUCAGAUAUCUCUAAGACGUCGGAAUCUCUUCUGUAAAUUAGAUUCCACUAAGAUCAAGCACCUUUAGCUUCUUCAAUCCUACUAAGGCUAUAAAGAAGACUUUCUCUCUCUCUCUCUCUCUCUCUCUCUCUCUCUCUCUCUCUAAUAUUCUCUUUCUCUUUCUCUUAAUUUUUCUUUUUAAUCUCAUGGUUCAAUUUAUAGUGAUCUUUGUUGGCUAUUUAUUAUUGAGCUAAAAUAGGUCCAACAUCCUGCUUCGUGACAAGAGACCCAGAAGACUAAUAAGUUGAGUUGGGUGACCCUAAUAAGUUGAGCAGAGGUGCGGUCCACAAGAGACCUAACAGCAAGAGACCCAAUAAUCAAGGUUUAAAGUAUCGAGCGUGCCGCACCGUGCCGGUGCGGCACGUACCGUGCCCCUAAGAAAGGGGCACGGUACAGGGGUGGGGGGGGAGGGUCCUCGGACCCCCCCUGUGUGCCGCGGCACCCAUAGCGUGCCGCUCGAGACAGAGCGGCACGCGGCUGGGUGCCGCGGCACCGUGCCGUGCCGAACAAAUUUUUUUUUUUUCCUUUACUUUAUGGUUUUUUUUUUUUGUUUUGUCUUUUUGCAAUUGUUGGUUUUGUUUUGACUUACAGUAAGAUGCUUUUUGGUUUUCUUUUUGCAAGUGUUGUCUUUUUGACUUGGUUUUCUUUUGACCCACUCCCCCCUUUGCUUUCUUCUCAUGCUUUUCAUUUCUUUUUUUUUUUGUCUUUUUGCAUUUGAUGGUUUCUUUUGACUGUCAAUGCUCUGUCAUAUAAAUCUUGUAUCUGCAACUGACAGUAUGCCAUAUGAUCAAGCGUGACAAUCUAUGUAGAAUUAAGCAGUCAUCUCUAUAUAAAGAUGUAAAUUUAAAUAAUUAUUAUACUUGUGAAUUUUAUUACUGUAUUUUAAUUUUUAUUCUACAUCAGGUAUAAUUGUAUUUUACUUACAAAAAGCUUACAUGCAUGUUAAUUGAUAAGUAUAAUAAGGUAUAUAUAGCAAAUAUAAAUAAUUAUUUAUUUAAAUCUUUCAAAAUAACAUUAUAAGAGUUUAUUGGAAUCAAAAAAAUGAAAAAAAUCCAUGCCAAAGCGUGCCAGUAGGAGGUCGUGCGUAUCUGUCGGCACGCAAGCGUGCCACCUGUCGGCACGCAAGCGUACCCGUGCCGUACCGUGCCAGGGCCGUGCCGGCACGCCCCCGUGCCACGGCACUUUAAACCUUGCCAACAAUAGAUCCAACGUCCAGGUGGGUUGAGUCAGGUCGAAGCCCGUGAGUGGUGUGACUGAGCCUUAAGUGCGAUGGGUGCGCCUUUCCUACCAGUACGUGCUUUUAGGAUAGUUAGUUUGUGUGUAUGAUCCACAAUCUUAGGAUCACUUCAUUUCGAAAAACAAUUCAAAAAAUUUUAAAACACUACAUUUCUUUAUCAUUUCCUUAUUGAUACCCAGUUCUCUAAGGAGAAUCAUCACCAAAUUAAUCACAAUUUAUCUUCUUUUUUUUUUUCCUUCAUUUCAUAUAUUUAUUUUCUUUCCUUCUUUUUUUUUUAGCUUAAUUUAAAUUUUUUUAUCCAAAUAGAUUGCAUAAGAAUUGACAAUUCUAAUUGUUGAAUUGAACUUCAGAACAAGAAUUCUCGAAGAACUACACGUGAAACUAAGAUAUACAUAAUACUAGAGUAGGGCUAGAAUACUUUUACAAGUAUCACCCAAGUGAUACUUGUGUGUUUUUAGCCCUUGGAUGGAGAGAUAUGAGGUUGAGAUGAUGGGGGUAGGUGGUGGUAGGUGGUGGUAGGUGGAAUAGUGUUUGAUCCAAGGGCUAUUUGUAAUCAAAAAGUAGAUCCAAUGGCUAAAAAAGUGAUAGCAACAUGGGGAUGAUACUUGUAAAAGUAUCCUAGAUCAACUCCAUAAUACUAUAUUGCAUAAUCGUUGAAAGAGGCAUGCAGUCUUGAAAUGACACUAUCAAAACCAUACCUUUCAAAGAAUGUGAAGCAUUUAAUUCAUUCGAAUCCAAAUACAAGACUUCGAGAGAUGUCAGAUAUGCCAAAGACAUUGGGAUCUCUCCUGUAAAUUGGUUUACACUAAGAUCAAGCACCUUUAGCUUCUUCAAUCCUACUAAGGCUAUAAAGAAGACACAAGAAAGAUGUUAGUCAACAUGAGAAAUUACUAACUGCUAGUAAAAAUAAAAAAGAAAAAAAACCAGCAAACAAAAAUAAGGAGUUAUUUGGUUCUAUUGGGUUGCAAUUAUACUGUAGUUAUAACUGCAUUCAUAUUCAAAUCCGACAUUUAUUUUGAUACUUUUGAAUUUCACUAUUAUAGUUACAACUGUAAGAGAAGGCUCAACUGCAUGCAGCAUGCAGAUUCAAAUAUUUAUACCUAUAGUAUAUUUUUUACUAUAUUCAACCCAACAAAAUACAUAUAAUUAUAAUUGAGUGAGGCUGCUAUGCUAUCGAAAGCACGGAGCCUUUCGUGCUUCCAGUUUGUUUUCGAUGUUGCGAUUUUCGAAUCAUCGAUCGGCUCCAUUAAACUUGAUCUAGAAUAUUUGGAGUACCUAGAAAAUAAAUUUUAUUAUUUUUUAAUAUCAUUUGCCUAGUGAUCGAAUGGGCUCAAAAUCAACAAAUUUCAAUGGCCGUAGUGAGCCGUUUGCAAGUUUAACUGUGUAGAAAUAUCCAAAUCACGUGAAAUUUUGAUAGAAAAUUCUUUAUACUAUAUAAAACAAGAUCAAUAUUUUUGAUCUAAAAUUUUAAUGUCAUAUUAUUACAUUUUGUAAGAUUUUUAUUUUUAGCCGUUGAUUUUGAGCCCCUUCGUUCACUAGGCAAAUGAUAUCGUAAAAUAAUAAAAUUUAUUUUCUAGGUACUUCAAAUACUCUAGAUCAAGUUUAACGGAGCCGAUCGACGAUUUGAAAGUCGCAACAUCGAAAACAAGCUGAAAGCACGGAAGGCUCCGUGCUUCCGAUAGCAUAGUAGCCUCACUCAUUAUAAUUAUUGUAUGUUUAAAAUACCAUAUGCAUCUUCAACUAAUAUUGUGUUUAUAAUUAUGUUGAACUACAUAAACGAUCCCAAGAGGAGUAAGUGGCUUACGGGUGGUGCUUGAGAGGAGGCCCGUGAAAGGAUUCGAAGAUAAAUCAAGGUAUCGUAGCUCAGGGAAUGAAGAAAAGAUGCUCAAAUUCAAGUGCCAACUUUGGGCCUCAUUUAGAGUCGGAGUCCCUUCUGGAUAAUAAUACCGAAAAAGCUCUGACAGAUGCAGUUCGGACACUUGCUCGGUGCUGUUAUCGCAAACAACUCCCUCCCAGAGACAACAAUCUCUGUGCUUUCCCCACGACGGAGGAGACGUUCCGUUGCAAGAGGCUUUGAAUUCCAAAAGAGCUUCGUACUCUUCUACAGGGCAUCCGACACCAAAUUUGCUACUCAACAUCAUCAUGCUUAUAACUAUUACUAGAGUAGUAAUCCGCAUGAUGAUCAGUGCUCGCCGUGAAAAGCCAUCAUUAAUAGAGUGGUGGUAGUAAAGCCCCAUAUAUGUUAGUUAAUUUGUGUAUAAUGUGUUGAAGCUCUCGCCAAUGGCAUGAUGUUUAUAUGUCUAAUAUGAAGCUCGUUGGGGCUAGUUAUGUAGUCUAUGAAUAUGCCGCUUAAUUGGCACCUUAUGGUCCCACCACAAUUUUUGCGCACAUAAGUCAUCACUAAGCAACCGUCCGAGGCUGAAUAAUCAUGGAGGCAAUUGCUUAUAUAUUCCUAAAAAUUUUUCGAUACUAAGGACUUAUUUGGUUCAAGUGUGGAAUUGGAAUGAAUAAUAGAAUGAAAAUGAAUUGGAAUGACAAUUGAAUUGCCCUCACUCUUCCAAGAUGUUUGGUUUAUUUAUGGAUUGGAAAUCGGAAUGAAUUAUUCCUAUUUCACUAUUUUGCUUGAUACAAAGUAAAAAAUAAUAGAAUAACAUAAUACUAAUUUUACUUUUAAAUAUAAUUUUAUAAAACUAUCUAAAAUUUAUAAAAAAAAAUUAAUACUAUUCUCAAGUUAGAGCUAUGCCCAAAAAAAAAAAAAAUUUAUUUUAAAAUUUUUUAUGCAAGAAAUUACAAAAAAAAAAAGCCUUUUUUUUAAUGAUGAGAAAAGAAGGAAGAGAUCGAUACAAGAAGAGAAAAAAUGGAUAAGAUGGAGAAACGUUGGGCUGAGCAUGAGAAAGAGGUGAGUGUGGGCUUGGGAUUGAAACUUCAAUCUAGGUUUGGAGACCAGAAUCAAUUUGUAAGCUAAUGGACUAUUCCCAUUCCGAUCUGGAAUGGGAGUCCCAAACAGAUUCUUAUAAACCAAACAAAAUUAGCAGGAUUUGAUCAAACUGAUUCUCAUUCCGGAUUCAAAAUGUACGAACCAAACAUGCCCUAAUAUUAAAAAUACUCUUUUAACGUACCAAGUUAUUUCCAAUAUAUUCCUAAAAUUAAUUUGAAACAGUCGUUAUCUCUAUAAAAUUACUAUUUUUCACUUCUAAAUAUAUUCUUCUAACUUUACCAACUUUUCUUAUUUGUUCUUAUUAGUUAGGGAUAAAAGAAGUAAUUUGACUUUUAAUCUUUUCAAAUAUACUCUUCUAUCAUCACCAACUUUUUUUAUUUGUUUUUUAAGUUAGGGGCAGAAGAGGUAUUUUAAUUUGUUUUAACUCUACUAGAAAUUUAAUUUGUGUUUAAUCCGAGAUGACCUAACGGAAAUUAACAACGGAAUUAUUUUUGAAUAACGGAGAAAUAUAUCAGGAGUAUAUUUGAAAUAAAAAAAUGAUAGGAGCAUAUAAGAUAUUUCAAAAGUUUUAAGGAAUAUAUUAGAUAUUAUCCCAAAAUCAUAUAUGCAACUGACAAUAUUGGACAUCCGGGCCGUUGAGUCGGUCUACUAUUCUCGUUCAAGGGUUAACAUUUUUAAAAUUUAUUUUUUUAAUUCUUUUUGAAAUAACUUUUAUUGUGAAAUAUACAAAAAUAAGUCCAAAAUUGUGUUUGGUUAAGAAUUUUUUUUAUUCUUAAGAAUAACAAAAGAUAUGUUGGGUGGUUAUUUCAAGAAUAGUUGAGAAUAAUGAAAAAUAUAUAUAAAUAAUACAAAAUAAAAUAUUUUUAUAUAUAAUAUAUUAGAAUAGAUGUUAUUUUAUUAUUAUAAUAAUAGUUGUAGUUCUACUGCUACCAGUAACAAUUAUUAUUAUUAUUAUUACAAAAAAAAUAAAAUAACUAGAGAAAAAAAGGCUUUCAAGUUGUUUUCAAAUUUUUAUAUCAUUUAAAAUAUAAAAGCAAGUGUUUUCAGUUUUUUUUUCUCCUUGUGAUAUUUUUUUUUAUUUUUUAUUAUUUUUUUUUGUUCAGCCAAAGAAAUUAAACACGGCAAGACCAGAACAGUGUAAGUCAAAAAGUACUAAUUAAUUAACUUGGCAAGACUUAAAAAAAGUCCGAGUCAAAAAGAAAUUUCACAUGGCAAGACUUAGAAAAAUCCAAGUCAAAAAGUAUUAAUUAAUUAGCUCGGCAAGACUAGUUCGGCUUCGUUUGGUUCGGAUAUAAAUAAGAACUAACUUAUUUCAGUGAUAAGUACAAGUUUAGAUAUAAACGAGAACUAGACCAAUUUUAUAUUUGGAUGAAAAUUUGGUUGUUUCCGGAAAUUAAAAAAAUAGCGUUUGGAUAGAUAAGAUGAAAUAAGAAAAAUAGUGGAUAGUUAUAAAUAGAAAAUAAUGAUAUUACACAUCUCAUUAUAUUUGAAUUUAAAUUUUUAAAUUUUAUAUNUAAGAAAAAUAGCGUUUGGAUAGAUAAGAUGGAAUAAGAAAAAUAGUGGAUAGUUAUAAAUAGAAAAUAAUGAUAUUACACAUCUCAUUAUAUUUGAAUUUAAAUUUUUAAAUUUUAUAUUUAUAAUUUUAAAUUUAAAUUUUUAACUUUUAAAUUUUAAAAUUUGAAUUUAAAAUUUAAAAUUAAUUUUUUAAAUUUUAAAUUUUAAAAAUUUAAAAUUUAAAUUUAAAAAUUUAAAUUUAAGACCAAAUUUAAAUUUGAAAUAUAUAAAAUAUCAAAUUAAAAAUUUAAAAAUUUAAACUUUAAAAUUUAGAAUUUUAAAUUAUAAAUUUUAAUUUUGAGAUUAGAAAUUUUAAAUUUAAAAAUUUAAAUUCUAAUUUAAAACAAAUCUCUCUCUCUCUCUCUCUCUCUAGCAGUAAGGGGUGGGUGGGAACAAGCUUGUUCCCAAAGCUUGUUCCCACCCUAGGUGUGAACUAAUAAUAGUUUCCACCCAAAAAUUUUGUUUGGGUACAAGAGGGGGACAAGAUCCUUUUCCCCCUUUUGUACCCAAUCUAAACGGGGCCAAAAAGUCUUAAACUCUGUUUGGUCGCGAAACAAGUGAGAAAAUAAGCUCUUAUUUUUUUACUUGGGAGAAUAAGGUGGUAUAAGAUGGUAUAAAUCUGAAUAUGUUGUUCCAACCUUUUUGGAUAUCAAGCUUGUUCCAACUUGAGAACAAGCUUAAUUAAAAUAAAUAUAUUUUCAAUUAUUGUAUUAGUGCUUUAAAUAAUCUAGGCCAAUUUGCAUAAAAAAUCCACAAGUUUUGAACUUUUGCAAAAUCGGACCGUCUUUUCCUAUUUUGUAGAUUUGGAUCGGAUUUUUAACAAACUGACCAAAAUACUCUUAUUCAUUUCUCUCUCUUCUUUUUUUUACUUCGUUUUUUUUCUCUCCUACCCUCAUCGCCUCCUCCACCGUGUAGUAUCCCUGGUGAUUGGUUGCCAGUGAGAUAUCAGCCUCUGAGGCUUGUCGACACAGCUGGAGAGUGUCGAGACAAGUCGGAGUUGUUUUGGGCGAAAUAGACGCAAAACGGACUCGACGCGAGGCUAGAGUGGAGUUCUGACGCUGAAAUCCGCAAAGUGUAGGAUUUCAGUGUUGAGUAUCGGUACGGUAUCGGGCUGGUACCAGUACCUCGUGCGUGAGCUUGCGGGCUGAGAGGCCGGGUACCGGUAACCAAAUCGGGUACCGGUACUCAACAUCAUCAUGGUUAUAACUAUUAGUAGAGUAAUCCGCAUGAUGAUCAGUGCUCGCCGUGAAAAGCCAUCAUUAAUAGAGUGGUGGUAAGUAAAGCCCCAUGCUUGUGCUGUAUGUUGAAGCUCGCCAAAACAAUGCUAGAGAGAGAGAGAGAGAGAGAGAGAGAGAGAGUAGGGCUACUAUACUCUUAUGAGUAUAGAGCCCUUCGUACUCAUAAGUUGUUUUCGAUGUUCGGGCUUCCGAAUUGACGAUCCAUAUCAUUAAACAUGAUCUAGAGUAUUUGAAACUUCUAGAAAAUAAAUUUCGUAAUUUUUUGAAAUCAUUAUAAAGUCUGUCAAGCGGAUAUAAAAUGAGCAGUCAAACUCGCACGAUAUUCUAAAAAUGGAUGAUCGGAUCCUUCAAUUUAAGAUCAGGGUUAUUGAUCUUUAUCUAGGUAAUGAAUAGAAUUUUCUAUCAAAAAUUCAAGCUAUUCCGAUUCUUUUAUACCGUUAAACUAGCAAGUAUCACAUACCGGCCGUUAAAAAUUGUCAAUUUUGUGAGCUAUUGAUCAUAAGGUAAAUGGUAUCGAAAAACUAUAAAAUUUAAUUUCUAGAAGUUUUAAAUGUUCUAGAUAAUGUUUAACGGUCUGGAUCGUCAAUUCGGAAGGUCUAUCAUCGAAAACAACUUAUGAGUACGAAUGUGAUCGUACUCAUAAGAGUAUAGUAGCCGGACUAUAUAGAGUCCGGCUACAAUACUUUUAUGAGUAUUGGCUCACUUAUAGUCAUGAGUUUUUGACCCUUAGAUUUAUUCCAUUGAUCAUUUGCACCCGUUAGAUCAUACUAUUCAACCAAUUACCCACUCAACCCUAGAGAACCACUAUUAUUCUAAGGGGGGAUCACCAUCAUCCUAACCACAUAUCCCAUCAAUCAACGGUUAAAAAUUUAUAAAUAUAAGGGGGUCUAUACUCAUAAGAGUAUAAUGGCCCCAGCCUAUAUAUAUGUGUGUGUAAUAUGAAGCUCGGUGGGUCGACUUAUAUAUAGCCCAUGAAUUGUCUCUUUGGCAUCUUACGUCCACAAAUAUAUUUUGCAUACAUAAGUCAAUAAGUAACUGUCCCAGGCAGAAAAAUUAUGAAGGUAAUUGCUUAAAUAUUCUUAGAAAAUUUUCGAAUGUUUUAUUUACUUUUUAUGAAAGACUAAUAUAAAAAAUAUUUUUUUAAUGUUCAAAGUUAUUUCAAAUAUGUUCCUAAAAUUAAAUUGAAACUGAUGUUUUCUCUGUAAAAUUAUUAUUUUGCCUUUUCAAAUAUACUCUCCUACCAUCAUUAACUUUUCUUAUUUGUCGUUAAGUUAGGGAGAAAAGAAGUAUUUUGACUUCCUUUUAACUCUGGUAUCCGGCUUUAAUCUGAGAUGCCUUAACAGGUAUUAAAAUGGGGUUAUUUUUUAAUAAGAGAGAAAUAUACAAUGAGUAUAUUUGAAACAANGCCGCUAUUAGGUGCUUUUGUAACUUUUCUGCACUGUACAAAUAGGGUAUAUCCCUGUUUUCUCAAAAAAAAAAUAUAUAUAUGUUGGAUGGUUAUUUAAAGAAUAUUGAGAAUAAUGAAAGAUAUAUAUAUAAAUAAUUCAAAAUAAAUUAUUUUUAUAUAUUAUAUAUUAGAAUACAUGUUAUUUUAUAAUAAUAAUAAUCAUAAUUAUUAUUUUUAUUAGGGGCAUUUGCUUAUAUACCCUUGAAAAAUUUUCGUCUUUUUGAUUUACCCAUCUCAGAAGGCUAAUAUUAAAAAUAUCUUUUAAUAUUCUAAUUUAUUUCUGAUAUAACCCUAUAGUUAAAUUCUAUUAAUAAACUGUUAAUUAGCAACAAUCGUUAUUUUUGUGAAAGUGCUAUUUUGCUUUUUCAAAUAUGUUCUUCUACCGUCACCAACUUUUAUUAUUUACCCUUAAGAUAAGGGCGAAAGAAGUAUUUUGAUUCUUUUCAAAUAUAUCAUUCCACUAUCAUCAACUUUUCUUAUUUGUUUUUAAAUUAAAAGCAAAAGAGGUAUUUUAAUUUUUUUUAACUCUAAUAGAAAUUUAACCCGGAUUUAAUCUGAGAUAACUUAACAGGUACUAACAGCAGGGAUAUUUUUGAAUAACGGAGAACUAUACGAGGAUAUAUUUGAAAAAAAAAAAAAUAAAGUAGGAAUGAUUAUAUACAAAAUAUUUCAGAUACCCAUCUAAAUUUAUCAAAUAUUCAUUUUAGUACCCUUUAAUUUUAACUUUAUCACUGAUUUAAGCAAAAAAAAAAUAAUGAAAUUGAUAAGAAAAAGAGAAAAAAGAAACCACAUAGGGGCAAACUGAUACAUUUUAAACCACAGGGGGGCAAAGUGAGAAACUACGAAACCACAGGGGGUUUUUUUUGAAGUUUUCCCAUUUUUUAAUAAACAUUUUGAUCAAGAAAUUUUAGACAGUGGAGUGUUUCUAAUGUGAGACAUGUAAGUUUGUUGAUUGAUGCUAAAAUAUGGCGCAACACUCCCAGUCAUGGUGAAUUCCUGUGUAGAUGGUUUCAUGUUAUUGUCAUUAGAUUUUUAAAGAUGUUCGCAUAAUCUUUUUAGAAAAUAGGACUUAAUUGUAAUUAUAUUUACUAAACUAUAGGCCGUUAAUUGAGAAAUUUUAAAGAAGUUCAGGAAUUAAAUUGGUGUUGAGCUCCAAAAUUAAGAGAUGAAAAAGUACGUAAUUCACCUAAUAAAACUUUAUAAAUUUUGAACAAAUUUCUUUUUGAGGAAUCAAAUAAUGACUCUUUCCUCACCUUUGAUUUUUAGUAUUACUUGAUUAGCUAGUAUAAUAUAGUAAUAGGUCAUCAAAACUUCUUAAUUUUUAGACCCUGCCUAUUUUGACGCCGGGACUUAGAGAGGGUGCGGAGAUAGAACAAGCACAACUCAAUAAACACUCGACUCACCGUAGAAUCCAUCACAUCGAACUCCAGCAUAUUCACCAGUAUAUGGAAUCUACCAAUGCAAUGGUUGAACAACAUUCUUCUCUUACAGAAAAUCCACCUAAGAGAUAAGAGAUAAGAGUAAGAAAAAAUUCUUCUUCUCGAAUAAAGCAGAAACUUCAACUCAACUUAACUUGACUUGUUUUUCAUUAUAAAAUUAUUAUAUAUUUAUAGACACUCAAAUGACCUUUCAUCUUCUCCGUACAUUAACUCACUCAUUAAUUUUAUAGAGAAACAAAAAAGCACUUCUAGGAAUAUUAAAAGACAUACACUAUUCAAAACUAAUAUAAUUCAUUUUAAAAAAACGAAAAGACAAUUUUAUAGGAAAACUAAAGGACGCACUUAUUUCAAAACUAAUAUUUAUGAAGUGAGACCGACGGUCUCUAAAGCAAGUGGCAAAAGACUUGGUGGUUGGUAUCCGAGACCCAAAUUCGAAUUUUAGUUGAUUCAUAUUUUCAGCUAAGUUUAUUUCUAAAUAAAAUACCUGUCUCUCACAAAAAAAAAAAAAAAAAUUUAUGGAGUGAGUAAUGGUUUCAUUCACCAAUUUCAAAAACAGUGUCAUAUUUUCUUUGUGUUUUGUAACUUCCUCCUCCAGAAAUUCUUCUGUGUUUUCUUUCAUCCUAUCCUCCGCACAAUUUUAGAUCAGUCGGAAGGGUCUUUUAAAUUGAUUAUCUUCUCCAGUUUCUUCUCCACUAUCUUCCUCUUGUUUGAUUUUACUGGAGUUUUCAUUUCAUUUUUUUCCCCUUUUGUUGUGGGGAUUUAUGUUUCAUUGUUUUCCUCAAACUUGUAUUCCAGGUAGGGCUGGCAAAUGAGCUGAGCCUGCUCGUGUUCGACUCGCGUUUGGCUCGAUAUUCGGCUCGAAUUAAUUUCAAGUCGAGCUUGAGUCUAAAUUUAGGCUCAAAAUUAAUUUCAAACCAAGCUUGAGUAUUACCGGGCUCGCUCGAAUUAGGCUCGAAAAGCUCGAAAUAUAUAUGUAUGUAUAUAUAUACAGAAAAAGUUUACUGUAUUAUUAAUAGUACCAACCACUUGCUAUUAGGUCCUCGGCCCUUGGAUGAACGGAUAUGCGGUUAGGAUGAUAGUAAUUAGAAUGUUUUUCUUUUAUCAUCACAUAAUAAUUAUUUAAGUGCCGAAAACCUAAUAGCAGGUAGUUGAUACUAUUAAUAAUAUUAUAACCUAUAUAUAUAUAUAUAUAUAUAGAGAGAGAGAGAGAGAGAGAGAGAGAGAGAGUCCAUCUACUAUCUAUUAAUAGGAUUGAGGGCAUUGUCCUAUCAAGUCGAUUUGAAUGAUCGGAACUUCAAAUUGAUAAUCGGCACCGUUGAAAUUGAUCUACACAAUUAGAAAUGUUUAGAAACCAAAUUUUGUAAUAUUUAAAAAUCAUUUUCAAUUUCAUCGUAAGAGUUGAAAAAUGAACGGUCAUAAAUGAAUAACCUUUUUAAAAUAGAAGUUAGACUUUCUCAAUUCAUAAUCAGAGUUGUCAAACAUUAUCUAAAUAGUAUAAAAAAUUUUUUAUAAAAAAUUCAAGCAAUUUGGAUUACUCUACACUGUUAAACAAGCAAACGGUUCAAAUAGGCCUUCAAAAAUUGUCGAUUUUACGACACUUUGAUCACCAUGUAAAUAAUUUUUAAAAUUUAUGAAAUUUAGUUUCUAGAUAUUUCAAAUACUCUAGAUCAAAUUCAACGGCUCCGAUCAUCGAUUCGGAAUCUCUAUCAUCAAGAACAAUUUGAUAGGACAAGUGCUACUAUCCUAUUAAUAGGAUAGUAGCCCUAGCCUAUACAUAUAUAUAGGCUAGGGCUACUAUAUUCUUAUGAGUAUAGACCCUUUUAUACUUAUAAAUUUUUCGCCGUUGGAUGUGCAAUUAGGAUAAUAGUGGUCCUCUAGGAUUGAGUGGGUGAUUGGUUGAAUUGUAUGAUUUACGGAUAAAAAUGGUCAAAAGUAUAGAUCUAACGAUAAAAAACUUAUGAGUAUAAAGGGGUCUAUACUAAUAGAGUAUAGUAGCAGAACUCUCUCAAUAUAUAAUUAUAUAUAAUAUAUAUUUUAAUUAUAUAAAUUUAUAUUAUGUAUUUUAAUUAUAUGUAUAUAGAAUUUAGAUUAUUGGG
rnacentral:lncRNA from 1 species